rnacentral:lncRNA from 1 species
GGAAAACGAAUAAAAUGGAACCUUGACCCACUAUCAAAGAUGAUAGGAACCUCGGUAUAACUUGAACGCCACACUUUUGGGAUUAAAGUGAUAAGUUCGGAUAGAAAGACGGUUGACGCCACAAGGGUUACUUGAUAAGUCAGACGAGUCUUUGGAGAACAAUGAGAGUUGAAAACAAACUCACAAAGUAAUCAUAUAUCAUAUAAGAUUCAAAAGUAUAUUGUCUACCCCAAAACAAUUACAAAGCAAACUAUUUAUAGCUAAAUUCCUAAGCUAGCCGAAUGGACACUUGAGCAGCUAAAAAGUCAGCUUAUUUUCAAAGCAAAUGAAUUGAAAAUUUCAUGUAGCUUCCUAGAACGUCCCUUGAAGCUUUCUUGAAGAUUCCCAGCUUUGGAGACGUCAAUGGACAGCCAUUUGAUGUCUUCUAAUAGCCUUGAAUUAAUGAGGUGAUGGUUGAGCUGAAAUGGCUGAAUAGAAUUGUUUAGAUUGGCCUAAAUUCGUCCAACUUGUGUGAAAGCUCUUAUGGAUGCUUGGGGAGCUCAAAGGCCAACUUGGGGAAGAGAAAUGGGCUGGCAAAUAAAUGUGAGGAGUCAUAGCUUUUUAAUCUCCACGAAGAGGCACAUUCCCUCACAUGGACGGCACAUUUAUGGCAUUUGAGAAGAACGAAAAUGGCUCAUGGAAAAGAGGAAUCAGCAACUCUUCAUGGAUCCCUUGCUGUGCACGAAAAAAAUAAAUCAGCAGCUCAUUAAGUGGACGUUCCUUGCAUGUGGAACAUCACAUUUAAUUCAUGGCUUUGCUGCACAAUAAAUCAGCAAGCAUUUCGUCCAUUAAAUGGCCACAUGAAAAAGCACAAGCAGCUCCUUAAAUGCUUCCAGCAUCCAUUGAAUGGCCGUCCAUAAUUGCUUUUGCUGCACAUUAAUUCCAGCAAUUUUAAUUUCGGCAACAACCACUUCUUUUAAUGCUGUCCAUGUACCUGCAUGCAACAACCAUUAAUUCAUGUUAAGACAACAUUAAAUGGUUAACUAGACAUAUUUAAUUCGGCAGCCACAAUUAACUUCAACUGGACACCAUUUAAGACAUCAUUAAAUUCGGUUGUAGCAAAGCAAAUUAAAUGAUGUAAUGACAAUUAAAUUCAGCUGGACACCUUAAAAACAUACAUUAAAUUCGUCCAAACAUGUAGCAGCAGCAUUAAUUUCGUCCAGACAUAUUUAUAACAUGCAGUGGCAGCAUUAAAUUCGUCAUAAUAAAUAGAUGUAAUAGCCUAGACAUAUUUAUGCUAUGUAUGAAAAUAGGACACAUUAAAAAAAAACAUAAAAAUAAAAAUAUUUAAAACACCUAAUUAAAAUGUCCAAUUUUAAUAAAUUUAAUACUAACACUUAGUUGUGCUGGAAUAAAUAAAUAAACUAACUUAUUCAAUUUAUUUUAGCAAAUGAAAAUUUAAGAAUUAAAAUAAACUCAAAUUGAGCAAAAUGAUCCCAUUGAGCUGGAAACAAGCUAAACGAAGCUCAGCGAGAUGCAAUUGAGCUAAUUUAGCUCGCAUGGGUGUGCAAGAAAUACUUAUGGAGCUGAUCGAAAAAUGUGCCCGAGGCGUGGUCAUAUCAACUACUACAAAUUUACCCAACUAUAGCCUUAAAACAUGAUUCAUCAAUCUCAUAAAUGUACUAGGUGCAUUAGUAAGGCCAAAAGGCAUAACUAACCAUUCAUACAAUCCAAAUUUUAUUUUAAAGGCUGUUUUCCAUUCAUCCCCUUCCCUCAUUCGAAUUUGAUGAUAACCGCUUUUUAAAUCAAUUUUUGUAAAUAUUAUUGAACCAUGUAAUUCAUCAAGCAUAUCAUCAAGUCUAGGAAUUGGAUGUCGAUAUUUUACCGUUAUCUUGUUGAUUGGGCGACAAUCAACACACAUACGAAACGUACCAUCUUUCUUUGGUACCAAUAAGACAGAAACAACACAAGGGCUUAGGCUUUCACGAAUGUACCCUUUAUCUAGUAACUCCUCAACUUGUCUUUGCAAUUCCUUUGUCUCCUCGGGAUUGCAUCUAUAAGCUGGUCGAUUUGGAAUCGAAGCUCCGGGUACUAAGUCAAUUUGAUGUUCAAUCCCUCGUAAAGGUGGUAAACCUUUAGGGGCCUCACUAAAAACAUCCUCAUAAUCCUGCAAAAGAGACUGAAACACACUAGGCAAAUUUUCGUUAACUUUAGAUAAAGAUAAAUAAUUUUGCCUAAACCUCACAUGGAUACAAGGCUGUUUGUUGAGUAGGGCUCUCCGCACAUCUUUUUUUGUUGCUAAAAGAUUUUUUUUCGCUCAUUUUACCUCUUGAGGAUUCACUCACCUUUGGGCUUUUUAAAUUGUGACUUUUUUCACUAUUAGCCUCUUUUCUCUCUGUCUUUUGUACUUGCCCUUUCUCCCUUACCCCCUCGCAAAAUUUCAUCAUCCUCUUUCGAUCUUUGUAUACAUAAGUGGGAUUUAAAGGAGCAAAAGUGAAUUUCUUACCUUUAAAUACAAGGGAGUAUCGAUUAAGUUUACCUUGGUGUGUAGCAUCACGAUCAAAUUACCAAGGUCGUCCAAGGAGCAAGUGUGCCGCAUGCAUUGGGACCACAUCACACCAAACUUCAUCUUCGUAAUUGUCGAGCUUAAAAGUGACCAAGGACUGUUUUGUAACUUUUACUUCGGAACAUUCAUUAAGCCAUUGAAGGUGAUAUGGCUUAGGGUGUUUGGUACAAGGCAACUUUAAAGAAUCCACCAAAUAGCUACUCACUAUAUUCGAGCAACUCCCACUAUCAAUAAUGAGUGAACAUAAGUUACCUUUAAUAAAACACCGAGAAUGGAAAAUAUUGGUUAUUUGGCUAUCAUCAUCUUUUAUCUGAACGUUAAGGGUUCGGCGAACUACAAAGCAAUAGAAAUUAGCAAAGUCCCCUUCCUUUGGUGGUUCGACCAACUCGUCGCUAUUAUCACUGUCAUCCACAAGUUCUGGCAUAUCUGGAUCUGUAUUAUCAGAGUCAGAAGUGUACUCACUGUUAUCUUUUAGAAGAAGUAAUCUCGUGUUAGGGCAUUCUCUACUAUAAUGACCAUGCCCUUUGCACUUAAAGCAUUCAAUCUCACGAGUCCUCUUCGCACUCGAAUCACCUAAAUUGGGUUGCUUAGAAGGUGUUUGCGUUUUAGCAGGAGCCCCUUUUUUCCAAUCUGAUUGCUUACUUCCAUUACUCAAAGAAGACUUGUUAGUAACAAAAGGGGAUUUCGAACUCUUAAAAUCAGAAUUGGAGUUGUUACCUCGGUAAUAUUGUGAAGUCGAAAAGGAACCAAACCUUUGUUCCUUUAGUUGUUGCUCGAUCUCAAUGGCUUUAUGAACUGCUUCUUCCAAAUCAAUGUAAGUUUGUAGCCUCAAUGUAUUAGCUAUCGGCCAGUUCAAACCAUCAAUAAAUCAAACCAUAGUUGUUUCCUCAUCCUCCUCCAUAUUAGCUCUCUGAAUAAGCAUCUCCAUCUCCUUAAAAUAUUCAUCCACUGUCCUACUACCUUGAAUAAGUCUUCUAAGCUUUGUUUCAACUCCUUCCAUGUCGAAAUCUCACCUUCAUAAUUCUGAUGACGAUUUACUCCAAGUUGAGUCCACCAACUUAAUGCAUAAUCUGAAAAUUCCAGUGUUGCUAACGCAACUUUCUCAUCAUCCGAACAUUUAUAAUACCUAAACAUUAGUUCAAUCUUAGAUUCCCAUUCACAAUAAGCUUCUGGAUCAUUCUUACCACGAAAUUGGGGAAUUGUGAACUUCGGUUUUGCCAAGGAGGGUUGCCCACGAUCAUGAAAAUCAGCAUCAGUUCUAGGGACACGUCGAGGACCGCGUCUAUGAGUAGGAUGUGGGUUAUCCCUAUCUUCUGUAAUUGGAUCCCGAUAAUGAGGAUCUUGAUUCAAUCUCACCUCAUUGAAAGCGGUACUCAAGGUGCGAAGUGUGGCAGCGUGUUCAUCUCAUUGUUGUUGGAGUUUUUGAAACAUGUCAUAGACAUCAUUAUGGUCAAUAUCACCUUUAGACAUUUUCCAAAAACCUGCAAAAAUAAACACUCAACACUCAAAAAUCAAAGUUAGCAAACCUCACUGUUAAUCACUCAAAAAGAAAAUUCAAAUUCUCAAUGAGGUAGAAUUCAGUCUUGUGAGUCCUUUAGGAGAGUUUAUAUCAACCAAUUAGAGAGUGGAUGAACCGAUCUACCAAAGAAUCCUAAUGUGCACUAGGAUGCCAAAAACUGACGAGACACCAAUUGAUUCGUGUUGCACCGAGGAAGAAUUGGGCACACGUUUAAAUCCUACUAACACAAGAAACAAGAAGGUGUUAGAUAGCGUAAAGGAAAAAUAAAGGCAAACAAAUGAAAACCUACAGCUAAGAAUCAAUAAAAAUUGCUGAAAACAGAAAACCCGAAAAACUGCGGAGUAACUUGACAACUUCGGUCGAGGUGUUCCCGAUCUCAAAAAAUCAUGAAAAUAAAUCUGGAAUGUCCUUAGAUAUUUAAUUUUUGAUCUGGAAAGUUUGGGCACUAAACUCAACCCGCUGAAUCUUUUUUUUAAAUUUUUAUUGGAUUUCAUCUUUUUUCAAAUUUUUGACUUUUUUGACUGAUAUUUUUGCGGAAAUAAUUUUUUUAUAUUCAAUCACAGUGCCAAAAAUAUGUAUGUAAAAUUUCAGAUCAAUUGGAAAACGUUUACCCACUCAAAUGAAUUUUUUUUGAAAGAUUUUUCUGGGUAAAACUGCUGUUUUUGCUUUAAAAAAUUGAGAUCAGUUUAGAAAUCAACCAAGAACACCCAAAACACCCAAAAUCUGAUACCAAAUGAUACAGGGUUGCGCGCGGACCAAGAUCGAGUUGCCAAGUCACGAGAAACUCCUACGAAAACCCUAAAAAAAUCAGAUCUAAAACGAAACAGAAAAUUAAAUGAUUAGAACUUUAAAUUUCCAGAUCUGAAAUAAAAUCCCCAAAUCAGUAAAGAAUCAAAUUGAGAAUAUAAAUAAGUGUUAAUAAGGAUUCUUGAAACCCUAAAGGAGAUUGCGAUUCUACCCAAUUGAACACCAAGAUAGUUUUUCCCUAAAUUUCGACAAUCUAAUUUCACCCAAAAAGAGUAUGGAAGAUGAUACGCCCUUGCCUCGUUAAUGAAUUGAGUCGUAAAAAUUGCCCGAUUGUGAAUUAGGAGUAAAUCGAAAGCUUUACAAAGUAGGCUUAGAAGAAAGGAUUAUUUAGGCUCAAAAGAGUUUGUUGGUUGAGGAGAUGAAUUCAAAUUUCAAUGGAUGCAAUUUGGCUAAGGAUUCAAAGCCGAACUAACACAAUACUAAUGUGUUAACCCGUAACUUAUGAGAAUGCUUGGGUUGGUAAGGUGUUGAUGGAAGGUUUGUUAAAAGGAUAGAAACUUCGACCCACUAUCAAAGAUGAUAGGAACCUUAGUAUGAAUUCGAACGCCACACUUUUGGGAUUAAAGUGAUAAGUUCGGGUAGAAACAAAGACAAGUUUGACGCCACAAAGAUGCUUGAUAAGUCUCACUAGUCUUUGGAGAAUAUCAAGAUAUGAAAACAACCUCACAAUUUAGCAAAGCUAUAAAAUUGUUCAUUAACCUCAAAAUGUGAAUUACAUGGCCUAUUUAUAGGAUGGACUAAGGUAGCCGAAUAGCCUAAUCAGAUUCUUAUGCCUUAAGCUUCUUUAGGAAACUUCCUAGCAAUUUCCUAGAUACAUUCAUAAACAAAAAUCUGAAUAAUAACCUUCUAGAAGAGAUGAUUCGACUGGCCCCUUUUAUGGCUAAAAUUCACAUUCAACGAAUGUUUUAAAAGAGAUUAAUUGCUGCUUUGGAGAAGAGAAAUGGGCAGCUUGAAAAGUUAUGCUUCUUUGGCCGAAUAUGAGCAGCCACCAAGUGAAUUGGCUGCUGGAAAUUAUGAAGCACUCUUUGGCCAUUGAUCUCCACGAAAUUGACCCUUAGAGAAGCUCAAAACAGCAGCUUGAAGUCCAUUGAGCUGCACGAAAAGUCAGCUGGAAACACAAGGAAGCUGUACUUUAAAUGCCGUCCAUGCAUGUGCCCAAAUACAUGCUCCUUUUUUAAUUGCUUUCCUUUGCCUUUAAGCUAGCUGAUACAUCUGAAAAAUAUCAAAUAAAUUCAGUUAAAAACAUAUUUAAAGCUCAUGAAAUCAGCAACUGAACAAAUUAAUUAGCAGCCAUGAUGUGAUCACGUCCCAAGCACCACCAAGCUUGAAUCUUGUUUCCCUCGAGUUCCCAAAUGGACCAAUGACUCGAGUUAGGUCCAAGCAAAUUCAUGAAGCUAUUUUAGCUUUAUUGUUCAAGUUUUGGAAGGAGAACCAGCUCGUUGAAGAUGGGGAAGCUCGAUCCAACUCCUUGAAGAAACCAUGCACCUUAGUGCAAGCUAAUUUCAGCUCAAUUCCAGCUCCCUUAGCUCAAUUCGACUUCAAUCAGCUCACUUGAGCUCAAUUCCACCUAUUUGAGCUCAAUUUAGCUUCUUUCCAGCUCGUUAAUUUUAUUAUUUGAAUAAUUUGAGUGAUAGUUUUAUUUUAAUUAUUUUUACUACAGCUCAUAACUGAAUUUUCUAGCUCAAUUCAUGAUACGGGGUUGCGCGCGGACCAAGAUCGAGUUGCCAAGUCAUGAGAAACUCCUACGAAAGAUCCUAGACGAACAGAUCUGAAAUCAAAAACAAAGAUUAAGAUUAAACCGAAUCAGAUUUGAAUUUAAAAUUCCCAAAUUCAAUUAAAAGAGCAGCAAGAAGAAAAGAAAUAGAAUCGAUGAAUCAAACGAAAUUGAGAAGAAAGAAAAGAUGCGAAUCUGCCAAGGAAUUGAUUCGGCCAAGAAUGCCCAAUUUCCAGCAAUCAAUUGAUUCCCAAAUUGAAAGAAAUCCAAUCGGCCAAACCCUAGGAAUUGGGGAUUUUUGGGUUCGAAUGGGUGCUGCCAAUAGAAGAACAACUUAAACGAUGAGAUCUUGAGUUUAAUCAAUGCUGGAAAACAAACAAGAACAGCAAAAUAUUAGAUGAGAAAUCGGCACAAGUAUAAGCAAAGAAAAGUAAAGAAAGAAAUCGAAAACAGCAAGAAUUAAAGGAUAAGUCCUAAAGAUCCUUGAAAUCCCGAAAGAUUUCACAAAUCUCUUCAAACGGCUCUAAUCUCCCCUCCAAAGAAUAUCGAUGGCAAGAAGAAGGUUGAAGAUGGCUCCCACAAUCAAAAGAUUGUUAAAACAACUUCUAAAGAAAACUCAAGAGAGAAUUCUUGGAGAAAACCCCAAAGAAAAUUCUGCACUCAACAAAUCUAAAAUUUAUAGAAAAAAUAAUAAUAAGAUGUUUACAAAGGGUGGCUGGCCAAUGCUUAUAUAGGCCUCCAACAAAUCCUAAUCUAAUUAGAAAACCUAAAAAAUUUAAACUUAAUUAAAAAAAACAAAGGAAAAUUCGGCCAUGCAUCCUAUUGGGCUGUUUUGGGCCGAAUUUAACAUGUGAUAUUCCUAAAACUUAAAAAUUAACUUAAACAACUAAAAUGUUUACAAAUUGGGCCCUUUGACAUUUUGGCCUGAUUUUCAACUAAAUAUGUAUGGAUUUCUUGAUUGGGCUGGGAAUUUGCUUAUUGGGCCUUGCCUUUAAGAAUUUGGGCUUGUGAUCCAUCUCCUACCGAAAUUGGGUCGUUGACGCUCGUAAUGGAGAUCCAACGCGCUUUAGCUCCAAGAUUCGGUUUCUUGGACCAAGAUUUCCAAGAUUUGAAAUCUUGAUUUUCUUGAUUCUUGAAAUUGCUCCGAACAGCAAAAUUGGGCCAAGAUUCGAUUUCUUGAUUUUCUUGAAAACAAGAAAGUGAAUCUUGAUUUUCUUGAUUUGAGCCCAUCACCUUCUUAAGCUUGGGUUGGGCCUUUGUGACUCGUAUCAUUCCCCCUUCCUCAAAAAGAUUCGUCCUCGAAUCUGAAAAAUCAAAUGAACUCGACUUUCCUCUAUCGAACGGGACUAAUGGCAAUUGAGUCCACUGAAAGUAAUAUCCAUGAGAUAGUAAAUAGCAACGGAAACAAGCUUGUAGUCCAAUCAUAAGUAUAACAGAACAGGUAUAACGCAUGUGAAUGGACAGAUUCAGAUUACCAUGCAAACAAUCUAAUUUACUCGCCACUGCCUCGUCAAAUAUUCGAAACGAAGAUGGACAUGGUUUAAGGCAUUCAGUCGUCUCAAAUUGUUCCCACAAACCAUGAAUAAAUUGCGAGUAAUAAAUCAAAUGGUAAACAUAAUCGUCACAAGUAGGUAUUUGAAAAUAUUCACAUGGUUCACAGAGUUGCAUAAUUAUACCAUGCAUUAAUCGAUGGUCUAUAGAUUCACUCACACAUGCAUUAUCAAAAACAAGAAUCUUUUUAUCAACCAUCAAAAUAGAUAGAUCAUCAUAAAUAAAAUAGGACAGUCAAGCACGUUUCGAUCUAAGUGUUCAUCAACAAGAUCUUUAUCACUAUCUGAGGAGUACAAAAGUGUUUCAAAAGUUUCAAGCAUCUUACCUUGAUAAGCAAAAGAAUAAGGGUCGAUUUUACCUUUUUCAUUUAAAACAAAUCUUCGCUCAUCGGGGGCAUAGUGUAGUCGAAUCUCCGUUGUUGAGUUAACCUUUGUCAAAUGGAACUCAAACUUCAUGUACAAUCACAUAAACUGUUUAAGGCACGAAUAUAAAUUGAAAACAAAUUUGAAAAAUGUCGUUACCUUAUUCUCCAAAAUAGAUUUGGACAAAUUCGAGGAUUUUACACAAGGUAAAUCAAGAGAAUAACAAAUCACGCUUCUUUUCGUAAUGACUUUAUCAACCACAAUCGAAGAGUAACAAUUAAUCGGAUCAAAAUGAGGGGAUCUUUUAAGAACUAAGUCACCAAAAGUUUUAUCAAUAAUUUUCAAAUCUGCACUGGAUUCGGUUUCUAAAAUUUCCUUACCUCGCUUACCUUCGGGAUCAUGUGGUGUGAUUUCAUCUUUGCCUAAGUUGAUCGUAUGAAAGCGUCUUUCAUUUGAGAGGUAUUGAAGUUGAAAGUUAUCUUUCGAUCUUUCGGGAACCUGAAAAGUAGCAACACAAGAAAAUUUCAUAUCUUGGUUAGUGGAAACAUUCCUCACUACCCUUUCCACGUCUUUUUCUUUUGUUUCUUUUUCUAAUUCAUUUUCUCUUCUUUCUUCAAUUUCUUUUUCAUUCUCUUUUUCUUUUUCCUCACUUGUUUUAACAGAAUUUUUCAGUUUGAUUUGGUCCUCAUGGACUUGUUCCGGAGUGAGCGGUACUAAGGUGAGUUUCUUUCCUUGAUGCUUGAAAGAAUACCUAUUGGUACGACCAUCGUGAGUGACUUUUCGAUCCAGUUGCCAUGGUUCUCCUAGCAACAAAUGGCAGGCUUGAAUAGGCAUUACAUCGCACACAACUUCGUCUUGAUACUUACCGAUAGAAAAGGCGAUGCGCACUUGUUGAGUGACCCUAAAUUGGCCUUCGUUGCUAAGCCCUUGUAGUUGAUAAGGUUGUGGAUGUGGUUAAGCAAAGCUUUUCCACCAUCGUCGUGCUGACUAUGUUCGAGCAACUUUCACCAUCAAUAAUAAAUCUACAAAGCUUACCUUGUACAUGGCAGCGAGUAUGAAAGAGAUGUUCUCGUUGCUGCUCGCUCUUUGGUUUUGCCAAAGAUGAUUGUCCACGAUCAUGAAAAUCAUCAUCCAUUCUAGGGACACGUUGAGGACUGCACCUAUAGGGCUGGUUAUCCCUAUCUUCCUUAAUUGGAUCUCGAUAUUGAUGUUUUUUAUUCACUCUUACCUCAUUCAAAGUAGUAUUCAAUGCUUGAAGUGUAGCAUUUAUUUGUGUGAUUGCAGCAGUAUGUCCGUCUAAUUGUUGUUGGACUUUCAUAAGUACAUCAUUAUUAUCACCUUUAGACUUCUUCAAAACCUGUAAAAAAUAAACACUCAACACUCAAAAAUAAAAGUUAGCAAACCUCACCAUUAAUCACUCAAAAAGAAAAAUCAAAUUCUCAAUGAGGUCGAAUUCAAUCUUGUGAGUUCUUUAUCAGAGUUUAUAUCAACCAAUUAGAGAGUGUGAACCAAACUACCAAAGAAUCCUAAUUUGCACUAGGAUGCCAAAAACUGACGAGACACCAAGUGAUUCGUGUUGCACCAAGGAAGGAGUUGUGCACACGUGUAAAUCCUACUAACACAAGAAACAAGAAGGUGUUAGAUAACGUAACGGAAGAAUAAAAGCAAACAAAUGAAAACUGAUAUGAGCUCGCCCAUGAAGAUAGGUGCCGAAUCCAUGGAGUUGCCUUUGGGGCCAAUUACUCGAGCACGUGCCAAGAAGUUCCAAGAUGCUGUAGCAAGCUAUAUUGCUCGAUUGUGGAGUGAUGGGUUGAUUGCCCAUAAAACGCCCAGCUCAACUAGCUUGAUUCGCAAUUUCCUACAAGCUGAUUUUAGCUUGUGUCAGCUCAAUUUAGCUCAAUUCGGCACUUAAUUAGUUCAAGGAGCUGAUUAAAUUUAUUUUUAAUAAAUUUAAUUAGUUGUGUUAGUUUAGAAUCAGCUCAAAUCAUUUAAUUAAAUAAAUGUGUCUUAAUCUGGACAUUUUUAAUUCAGCUUAUCAAAUAUGUUUUAUAUUAGUACAUGCCUUUAAUAUGUCCAUAUUAAGUCAUAAAUUAAAUGUGUUUAGUUUAAUUACAAAGUUUUAAUGUGUCUUGACUAAGACAAAUUUAUUAGUGGCUGCUAAUUAAUUUGUCUUAGCCGAAUUAAUGUGCAGAAUUUUAAUAUGUCCAGCUGCUGAUUUCAUGAGUAUUAAACUUGUCCUAAUCACAAUUAUUUGAUGUUUUUUUCAGCUAGCUUAAUGGCAAAGAAAGCUCAUAAAGAAGGAGCAUGUAUUUGGGCACAUGCAUGGACGGCAUUUAAAGUGCAGCUGCCUUGUGUUUCCAGCUGACUUUUCGUGCAGCUCAAUGGACUUCUAGCUGCUGUUUUUGAGCUUCUCCAAGGGCCAAUUUCGUGGAGAGCAAUGGCCAAAGAGUGCCUCAUAAAUUCCAGCAGCCAAUUCAUGUGGAGGCUAUUCAUAUUCGGCCAAAGAAGCAUAAUUUUUGAAGCUGUCCAUUUCUCUUCUCCAUAGCAGCAAUUAAGCUCUUUUAAAACAUUAACCGAAUGUGAAUUUUCUCCAUUAAAGGGGCCAGCCGAAUCAUCUUUUUCUAGAAGGUUAAUUUUCAGAAUUUCAUCACAUGAAUGUAACUAGGAAAUUUCUAGGAAGUUUCCUCAAGAAACUUAAGGCAUAAGGAUCUGAUUAGAUAGGCUAUUCGGCUGCCUUAGUCAAGCUAUAAAUAGGUCAUGUAAUUCACAUUUUGAGGUUAAUGAACAAUUUGAUAGCUUUGCUAAAUUGUGAGGUUGUUUUCAACUCUCGUUAUUCUCCAAAAACUUGUGAGACUUAUCAAACAUCUUUGUGGCGUCAAACUUGUUUUUGUUUCUUCCCGAACUUAUCACUUUAAUCCCAAAAGUGUGGCGUUCGAUUCAUACUAAGGUUCCUAUCACCAUUGAUAGUGGGUCGAAGUUUCUGUCCAUUUAACAAACCUUCCAUCCAUCCUUACCAACCUAAGCAUUCUCCUAAGUUACGGGUUAACACAUUCCUAUUGUGUUAGUUCGGCUUUCGAAUCCUUAGCCAAAUUGCUUCCAUUGUUUUCUAAUUCAUUUCCUAAACCAACAAAACCUUUUUGAGCCUAAAUAAACCUCUUUCUUCUAGCCUAUUUUGUAAAGCCUCAAUUUACUCCUAAUUCACGAUUGGGCGAUCUUUACGACUCAAUUCGAUCUCGAGGUGAGGGCGUAUCAAAAACCUACAGCUAAGAAUCAAUAAAAAUUGCUGAAAACAGAAAACCCGAAAAACUGCGGAGUAACUUGACAACUUCGUUCGAGGUGUUCCUAAUCUCUAAAAAUCACGAAAUUAAAUCUGGAAUGUCCUUAAAUAUUUAAUUUUUAUCUGGAAAUUUUGGGCACCAAAUUCAACCCGCUGAAUCUUUUUUAAAAUUUUUAUUGAAUUUCGUAUUUUUUGAUUUUUUUUGACUUUUUUGACUGAUUUUUUUGCGGGAAUAAUUUUUUUAUAUUCAAUCAGAGUGCUAAAAACAUGUAUGUAAAAUUUCAGAUCAAUCGGACAAUGUUUACCCACUCAAAUGAAUUUUUUUUGAACAAUUUUUCUGGGUAAAACUGCUGUUUGUGCUUUAAAAAAAUAGAGAUCAGUUUAGAAAUCAACCAAGAACACCCAAAACGCCCAAAAUCUAAUACCAAAUGAUACGGGGUUGCGCGCGGACCAAGAUCGAGUUGCCAAGUCACGAGAAACUCCUACGAAAGAUCCUAGACGAACAGAUCUGAAAUCAAAAACAAAGAUUAAGAUUAAACCGAAUCAGAUUUGAAUUUAAAAUUCCCAAAUUCAAUUAAAAGAGCAGCAAGAAGAAAAGAAAUAGAAUCGAUGAAUCAAACGAAAUUGAGAAGAAAGAAAAGAUGCGAAUCUGCCAAGGAAUUGAUUCGGCCAAGAAUGCCCAAUUUCCAGCAAUCAAUUGAUUCCCAAAUUGAAAGAAAUCCAAUCGGCCAAACCCUAGGAAUUGGGGAUUUUUGGGUUCGAAUGGGUGCUGCCAAUAGGAGAACAACUUAAACGAUGAGAUCUUGAGUUUAAUCAAUGCUGGAAAACAAACAAGAACAGAAAAAUAUUAGAUGAGAAAUCGGCACAAGUAUAAGCAAAGAAAAGUAAAGAAAGAAAUUGAAAACAGCAAGAAUUAAAGGAUAAGUCCUAAAGAUCCUUGAAAUCUCGAAAGAUUUCACAAAUCUCUUCAAACGGCUCUAAUCUCCCCUCCAAAGAAUAUCGAUGGCAAGAAGAAGGUUGAAGAUGGCUCCCACAAUCAAAAGAUUGUUAAAACGACUUCUAAAGAAAACUCAAGAGAGAAUUCUUGGAGAAAACCCCAAAGAAAAUUCUGCACUCAACAAAUCUAAAAUUUGAUAGAAAAAAUAAUAAUAAGAUGUUUACAAAAGGUGGCUGGCCAAUGCUUAUAUAGGCCUCCAACAAAUCCUAAUCUAAUUAGAAAACCUAAAAAAUUUAAACUUAAUUAAAAAAAAAGCAAAGGAAAAUUCGGCCAUGCAUCCUAUUGGGCUGUUUUGGGCCGAAUUUAACAUGUGAUAUUCCUAAAACUUAAAAAUUAACUUAAACAACUAAAAUGUUUACAAAUUGGGCCCUUGACAUUUUGGCCUGAUUUUCAACUAAAUAUGUAUGGAUUUCUUGAUUGGGCUGGGAAUUUGCUUAUUGGGCCUUGCCUUUAAGAAUUUGGGCUUGUGAUCCAUCUCCUACCGAAAUUGGGUCGUUGACGCUCGUAAUGGAGAUCCAACGCGCUUUGGCUGCAAGAUUCGGUUUCUUGGACCAAGAUUUCCAAGAUUUGAAAUCUUGAUUUUCUUGAUUCUUGAAAUUGCUCCGAACAGCAAAAUUGGGCCAAGAUUCGAUUUCUUGAUUUUCUUGAAAACAAGAAAGUGAAUCUUGAUUUUCUUGAUUUGAGCCCAUCACCUUCUUAAGCUUGGGUUGGGCCUUUGUGACUCGUAUCAAUUCAGCUCAUCAAGAAUUUUGACUAUCAUUGAGCUAGCCGAAUUUAUUAUUAAUUAUAUUUUAUUUAUGUCUUUAUUUUAAUUUGUUAAAUAUGUCUUGAUAUUAUUUAAUUUAAGCUGAAUGUACCUUGAAUCUAAUUUGUUUAUAUCUUUUGUAGGUACAUCCACAUGUGGGAACACAAUUAAUGAGGAUUCAUGAACAUUUCUGGUUCAAUGUAUGUUCGGGUACAUGCAUGACUACCUACAACGAAUGGUUGCCUUAAAGAUGAUGCAUGAAUGAUUCAAUACAAUGAAUGGAAGAGUGCAUGAAUAUCCACCUACAUGCAUCGGUUGCUGACCAUUGAAUUUCCUAUGCACCUAUUCAGCCAAAAGACAUCUUUUGAAGUGUCCAUUCACACCUUGGCCGAAUCUAGACAAAGCUAUUGGCAUCUCAUGCAUUCAUCAGCCCUCAAGUACAUUUCCUUACUCAUGAAGUUGGCCAUUGAACAUCCAUACAGCCGAAUUUGGACAUCACUUUUAAUGGAUACAUUUCUAGUUUAGUUUUACACAUUUAAAGCCGAAUUACUUAGUCUUUAAGCUUGUUUAGUAUGACUAUUCGGCUAUCAUUUGAAGUCUAUAAAUAGUUCAUUUCUCUUUGUAAAAAGGUUAGACAAUUCUGAUUAUUAAACUUGAUUGUGAGGUUUCCUCCUAUCCUAUUUCGUACGAGUCUCGUUCUGACUUAUCUAGCUCACUAGUGGCGUCAACCCGACUCCUUGAACUUAUCACCAUCCUGGUGUGGCGUUCAUCCACCUUUUUAUACCUUUGGUUCCUACCUCUCUAUAGGUAACGGGUAAGGUCCAUCUUCGACUUCCAUUAAACCCACCUUAAGCAAUAUAAGUCCCGGGGCAAUACUUUACAUGGUAUUGAAUCGUUCUUCGCUUGAGUUCAAUUUCCAUUCCAUUUUAUCUAUCUACUUAAACUAUAUUUUCUUUGUUAAACCGAACCUAUCCAUUCUCCAAACCAAGCCAUUUUUGAACCCUUUUAAUUACUUCCGCUUAAAAUAACUCCAUAAAGUUAUCUCCAUUCGACAUCAACCAAUACUUCUCGUCGACGAUCGGGCAACUUAAGUGAACUCGACUCCAUCAACCGAGCCGGAUCACAUGAAGCCACUAAUAAAUUUGUCUUAAUCUAGACACAUUAAAACUUUGUAAUUAACUAAACAUAUUUAAUUUGUGACUUAAUAUAGACAUAUUAAAAAUAUGUACUAAUAUAAGACACAUUUAAUAAGCUAAAUUAAAAUGUCCAGAUUUAAAACACAUUUAUUCAAUUAAAUGAAUAUAAUCAGCUCCUUGAAUUAGUUAAGUGCCGAAUUGAGCUGAUACGAGCUAAAAUCAGCUUGUAGAAAAGUGCGAAUCAAACUAGUUGAGCUGGGCAUUUUGUGUGCAGCCAACCCAUCACUCCACACUCGAGCAAUAUAGCUUGCUACAACAUCUUGGAACUUCUUGGCACGUGCUCGAGUAAUUGGCCCCAUAGGCAACUCCAUGGAUUCGGCACCUAUCUUCAUGGGCGAGCUCAUAUCAGAAGAACCCUAGAAAUUGGGAUUUUUUUGGGCUGAUUCCUUAAGAUAGAAAAAGGCUGAAUACAUAAUAAGAAUAGAAAAUAAAUUAGAUAAAGACUCAGCACAAGCAGAAAUAAAGAAAGAAUUGACAGCAAGAAAUUAAAAGAUAAGUCCUAAGAAGCCUUGAAAUCCCGAAAGAUCUCACAACUCCCUUCAAACGGCUCUAAUCUCCCCUCCAAAGAAUAUCAAUGGCAAGAAGAAGGUUGAAGAUGGCUCCCACAAUCAAAAGAUUGUUAAAACAACUUCUAAAGAAAACUCAAGAGAGAAUUCUAGGAGAAAAACUCAAAGAGAAUUCUGCACUUAAACAAAUCUGAUAUUUUUGAUAUAAUUGAGAAGUAGUUUACAAGGUGGCUAGCCAUGCCUUUAAAUAGGCUUUAUAACUAGUCCUAAUCUGAUACGAGUAACAAAGGUCCAACCCAAGCUCAAGAAGGUGAUUGGCUCAAAUCAAGAAAAUCAAGAUUCACUUUCUUGUUUUCAAAAAAAUCAAGAAAUCGAAUCUUGGCCCAAUUAUGCUGUUCGAAGAGAUUUCAAGAAUCAAGAAAAUCAAGAUUUCAAAUCUUGGAAAUCUUGGUCCAAGAAACCAAAUCUUGCAGCCAACACGCAUUGGAUCUCCGUUACGAGCAUCAACGACCCAAUUUCGGAAGGAGAUGGAUCACGAGCCCAAAUUCUUGAAGGCGAGGCCCAAUAACCAAAUUCCAGCCCAAUCAAGAAAUUCCUUCAUACUUAGUUGAAAAUUAGGCCAAAAUGUCAAAGGGCCCAAUUUAUAAACAUUUUAAUUGUUUAAUUUAAUUUUUUUAAGCUUUAGGAACAUACAUGUAAAAUUCGGCCCAAAAACAGCCCAUAUAUAUGCUUGGCUGAAUUUUCCUUUAUUUAUUCUAUUAAUUAGGUUUAAUUUUAUUAGUUACUUGUUAGAUUAGGAUUACUUGAGGCCUAUUUAAAGGCAUGGCCGGCCACUCCUUGUAAAUAAACACUUAGAUUCAUUCUUAAAUUUCAGAUUUGAGAGAGCAGAAUUUUCUUUGAGUUUUCUCCAAGAUUUCUCUCUUGAGUUUUCUUUAGAAGUUGUUUUAACAAUCUUUUGAUUGUGGGAGCCAUCUUUAACCUUCUUCUUGCCAUCGAUAUUCUUUGGAGGGGAGAUUAGAGCCGUUUGAAGGAAUUUGUGAAUUCUUUCGGGAAUUCAAGGGUUCUUAGGACUUUUCUUUAUUUCUUGCUGUUUUGUUUUAUUUCUUUAUUCUCACUUGUGCCGAUUCUUUAUCUCAUUUGUUUGCUGUUCUUCUUGUGUUUUUCCAGCCAUAUUCAACUCAAAGAAUCGAAUUAAAUCAUCAUUCAUUGGCAGCAAAGAGUCGUUCUCAAAAAUCCCCAAUUCCUAGGGUUUGGCUGAUUGGAUCUCUUUCAAUUUGGGGAUCAAUUGAUUGCUGGAAAUUAGGCAUUCUUGGCCGAAUCAAUCCCUUGGCAGAUUCGCAUCCUUUCCAUACUUUCAAUUCCGUUUGAUUCGCUUAUUCUAUUUCUUUGUUUCUUGCUACUCUUUUAAUUGAAUUUGGGGAAUUUCAAUUCAAUUCUGAUUUGCUUUUAAUCUUGUUCUUUGUUUUGAUUUCAGAUCUGAUUCGUCUAGAGCUUUCAUAGGAGUUUCUCAUGACUUGGCAACUCGAUCUUGGUCCACGCGCAACCCCGUAUCAUUUGGUAUCAGAUUUUGGGCGUUUUGGGUGUUCUUGGUUGAUUUCUAAACUGAUCUCUAUUUUUUAAAGCACAAACAGCAGUUUUACCCAGAAAAAUUGUUCGAAAAAAUUUCAUUUGAUUGGGUAAACGUUGUCUGAUUGAUCUGAAAUUUUACAUACAUAUUUUUGGCACUGUGAUAGAAUAUAAAAAUUAAUCCCGAUAAAAAAUAGUCAAAAAAGUCAAAAAAAUCAAAAAAGACGAAAUUUAAUAAAAAUUUUAAAAAAGAUUCAGCGGGUUGAAUUUGGUGCCCAUACUCUCCAGAUCAAAAAUUAAAUAUAUAAGGACACUUCAUAUUUAAUUUCGUGAUUUUUGGAGAUCGGGAACACCUCGAACGAAGUUGUCAAGUUACUUCGCAGUUUUUCGGGUUUUCUGUUUUCAGCAAUUUUUAUUGAUUCUUAGCUGUAGGUUUUCAUUUGUUUGCCUUUAUUCUUCCUUUACGUUAUCUAACACCUUCUUGUUUCUUGUGUUAGUAGGAUUUAAACGUGUGCACAACUUCUUCCUCGGUGCAACACGAAUCAAUUGGUGUCUCGUCAGUUUUUGGCAUCCUAGUGCAAAUUAGGAUUCUUUGGUAGAUCGGUUCAUCCACUCUCUAAUUGGUUGAUAUAAACUCUGAUAAAGAACUCACAAGAUUGAAUUCUACCUCAUUGAGAAUUUGAAUUUUCUUUUUGAGUGAUUAACGGUGAGGUUUGUUAACUUUUAUUUUUGAGUGUUGAGUGUUAAUUUUGCAGGUAUUUCAAAAAAAAGAGGAAAAAAAUAAGAUGGUAGUCCGCCGAACCCUUAAUAGCCAAAUGGGAGACGAUUUUGAUAACCAAAGGACCAAUAUUUUCCAUUCUAGGUGUUUUAUAAAAGGUAACUUAUAUUCACUUAUUAUUGAUAGUGGGAGUUGUUCGAAUCUAGUUAGCAGUUAUUUGGUGGAUUCCUUAAAGUUACCUUGUAUCGAGCACCCUAAGCCGUAUCACCUUCAGUGGCUUAAUGAAUGCUCAGAAGUUAAAGUUACAAAACAGUCCUUGAUCACUUUUAAGCUCAGGAAUUACGAGGAUGAGGUAUGGUGUGAUGUGGUCCCAAUACAUGCGACACACUUGCUCCUUGGACGACCUUGGCAGUUUGAUCGUGAUGCUACACACCAAGGCAAGCUCAAUAGGUACUCUCUUGUGUUUAAAGGCCGAAAAUUCACUUUUGCUCCUUUAGAUCCCAAUGAUGUAUAUAAGGAUCAAUUAAAAAUGAUGAAAUUUUGUGAGGGGGUAAGGGAGAAAGGACAAAUACAAAAGACAGAGAGAAAAGAGGCUAGUAGUGAAAAAAGUCAAAAUCUAAAUAGCCCAAAGGUGAGUGAAUCCGCAAGUGGUAAAAUGGGAGUGAAAAAUUUGAUGGCAACAAAAAAAGAUGUGCGGAGAGCCCUACUCAAUAAACAGCCUUGUAUUCUUGUGAGGUUUAGGCAAAACUAUUUAUCUUUAUCUAACAUUAACGAAAAUUUGCCUAGUGUGUUUUAAUGUUUUUUGUAGGAUUAUGAGGAUGUUUUUAGUAAGACCCCUAAAGGUUUACCACCUUUACGUGGGAUAGAACACUUCCAUUGGCCACAUACGAAAGAUAACUUUCAACUUCAAUAUCUUUCCGAAGAAAGACGCUUUCAUACAAUCAACAUAGGCAAGAUUGAAGAUGAAAUCACACUACAUGAGCCUGAAGGUAAGCGAGGUAAGGAAUUUUCAGCAACUGAGUCCCGUGCAGAUUUGAAAAUUAUUGAUAAAACUUUUGGUGACUUAGUUCUUAAAAGAUCCCUUCAUUUUGAUCCGAUUAAUUGUUAUUCUUCGAUUGUGGUUGAUAAAGUCAUUACGAAAGGAAGCGUGAGUUGUUAUUCUCUUGAUUUGCCUUAUGUAAAAUCCUCGAAUUUGUGCAAAUCUGUUGUGGUGAAUAAGGUUAACUCAACAACACGUAAUCAACCUUGCAUUUUCCAUCUACUUGCACAAGUUGGUUAGAAGCCAAUGGCAUCAGAUCAAGUGGUGUUAACGGAUUGAAACCAUAAACAAUUUUGAAAGGAGAAAGUUUGGUAGCUGAGUGAAUAGCUCGAUUAUACGCAAACUCCACAUGCAGCAAACAAUCUUCCCAAGCCUUCAAAUUUUUCCGAAUGAUAGCUCGAAGCAAUGUAGAAAAAUUUUGGUUGACCACUUCGGUUUGGCCUUCCGUUUCCGGAUGGCAAGUGGUAGAAAACAGCAGCUUGGUUCCAAGGUGCCCCCAUAAUGUUCUCCAAAAAUGGCUAAGAAAUUUCACGUCUCGAUCGGACACAAUCGUCCUAGGCAUGCCAUGCAACCUGACCACUUCUUUGAAAAACAAGUUAGCAAUAUUAACGGCAUCAUCAGUUUUAUGACAUGCUAUGAAGUGUGCCAUUUUAGAAAACCUAUCCGACACUAAAAAUAUCGAAUCUCGGUGAUACGAGUCACAAAGGCCCAACCCAAGUUCAAGAAAGUGAUGGGCACAAAUUGCCACAAGGCCCAAUAACGAGAUCAAAGGCCCGACAAAUGCGGUCCAAACUAAAUGGGACCAUUCAAGAGUUUGUUAGCAAGGCCUUAGAUGCAUACACGAGAGAACAAGAAAAUCAAGAUUCACUUUCUUAUUUUCAAGAAAAUCAAGAAAUCGAAUCUUGACCCAAUUUUGCUGUUCGAAGAGAUUUCAAGAAUCAAGAAAAUCAAGUUUUCAAAUCUUGGAAAUCUUGGUCCAAGAAACCAAAUCUUGCGGCCAAAAUGCAUUGGAUCUCCGUUACGAGCGUCAACGACCCAAUUUCGGAAGGAGAUGGAUCACGAGCCCAAAUUCUUGAAGGCGAGGCCCAAUAAGCAAAUUCCAGCCCAAUCAAGAAAUCUAUGCAUAUUUAGUUGAAAAUCAGGCCAAAAAUGUCAAAGGGCCCAAUUUGUAAACAUUUGAAUUGUUAAUUUAAAUUUUAGGCUCUAGGAAAGAUACAUGUUAAAUUUCGGCCCAAAACAGCCCAUUUAAGUGGCCAGCCGAAAUUUCCCUAUUAUUUCUCUUAAUUAGGUUUAAAUUUUAAGUUUUCUAUUUAGAUUAGGAUUUGUUGGAGGCCUAUAUAAGCAUUGGCCGGCCACCAUUUGUAAAACACAUCUCAUUAUUUUUUUAUCAAAUUUCAUAUUUGUUUGAGUGCAGAAUUUUCUUUGGGGUUUUUCUCCAAGAAUUCUAUCUUGAGCUUUCUUUAGAAGCUGUUUUAACAAUCUUUGGAUUGUGGGAGCCAUCUUCAACCUUCUUCUUACCAUUGAUAUUCAUUGGAGGGGAGAUUAGAGCCGUUUGAAGGGAUUUGUGAAUUCUUUCGGGAAUUCAAGGAUUCUUAGGACUUUUCUUUAUUUCUUGCUAUUUCAAUUUAUUUCUUUAUUCCUGCUUGUGCCGAUUCAUUAUCUAACCUUUUUACUGUUCUUGCUUGUGUUUCCAGCCUUGAUUAAACUCAAAAUCUCAUCGUUUAAGCUAUUCUCCUAUUGGCAGCACACAUUCGAACCCAAAAAUCCCCAAUUCCUAGGGUUUGGCCGAUUGGAUCUCUUUCAAUUUGGGAAUCAAUUGAUUGCUAGAAAUUAGGCAUUCUUUGCCAAAUUGAUUUGUUGGCGGAUUCGCCUUACUUCUAUCCUUCAAAAAAUCGUUUGAUCCAUCUAUUUUAUUUCUUCUCUUCUUGUCGUUCCAAUCCCUAAUAUUCAAUUAAAUUUCUGGUUGUUCUAAUUUACUUACUGUUUUGGUGUUCUUGGACAGAUUCGGCUUGUGGGAAAAUAAUCUUGGAGUUCGAUUUCGUCUUCUUGAACUCCAAAAGCAUCUAUUCAUUCGUUCUUUGGUUCUUGGCUAUUUUCUAAUUAUUUUUGGGGAUUUCAAUUUCGGUUCUGAUUCGUUUUAAUCUUUCCUUUAUUUUGAUUUCAGAUUUGUUCGUGUAGAGCCUCGUAGGAGUUUCCUCGUGACUUGGCAACUCGAUCUUGGUCCACACGCAACCCUAUAGCACUCGACCAUUUUUACUCCUUGGUAAACCUAGCACGAAAUCCAUUGAGAUAUCAGACCAAGGGGUUUCGGGAAAGGGUAAUGGCUUAUACAAACCAUAGGGCUUUAUUCGUGACUUAGCCCGUUUGCACGCAAUGCAUCGAUUACAAAAUCAUUCGACAUCUCGUCGCAUCUUGGGCCAAAAGAAGUGUUCAUUGAGUGUGGCUAAAGUCUUGGCAACUCCAAAAUGCCCCAUUAAUCCACCACUAUGCGCUUCUUCGAUCAACACCUCUCGAACGAAACCUUGGGGUAUACAUAGCUUUCCUUCUCGAAAUAAGUACCCAUCAUGUCGAUAGUACUUUUCGUAGGCUCCCUUUGCGCAUAACUGAAAGAAUUCACCAAAGUCAGUAUCAUUGACAUAUAAAUCUUUAAGAAAAACAAACCCCAUCAAUUUAGCAUCCAAGACAUUUAAUAAAGCAUACCUUCGAGAUAGUGCAUCAGCGACUACGUUUUCCUUACCUUUUUUAUAUUUAAUAACAUAGGGAAAAGAUUCGAGAAAUUCUACCCACUUAGCAUGCCGCUUGUUCAACUUGUGUUGCCCUUUCAAAUUGAUACGGGGUUGAGCGCGGACCAAGAUCAAGUUGCCAAGUCACGGGAAACUCCUACGAAAGAUCCUAAACGAACAGAUCUGAAAAUUAAAACAAAUAACAAGAUUAAACUAAUCAGACCUGAAAUUAAAUCCCCAAAUUCAAUUAAAUGAGCAGCAAGAAACAAAGAAAUAGAAUAAGCGAAUCAAAAGGAAUUGAAAGAAUGGAAAGGAUGCGAAUCUGCCAAGGGAUUGAUUCGGCCAAGAAUGCCUAAUUUCCAGCAAUCAAUUGAUUCCCAAAUUGAAAGAGAUUCAAUCGGCCAAACCCUAGGAAUUGGGAAUUUUUGAGAACGACUCUUUGCUGCCAAUGAAUGAUGAUUUAAUUCGAUUCUUUGAGUUGAAUAUGGCUAGAAAAGCAAAAGAAGAACAGCAAACAAAAUAUUAGAUGAGAAAUUGGCACAAGUAUAAGCAAAGAAAAGUAAAGAAAGAAAUCGAAAACAGCAAGAAUUAAAGGAUAAGUCCUAAAGAUCCUUGAAAUCCUGAAAGAUUUCACAAAUCUCCUCAAACGGCUCUAAUCUCCCCUCCAAAGAAUAUCGAUGGCAAGAAGAAGGUUGAAGAUGGCUCCCACAAUCAAAAGAUUGUUAAAACAACUUCUAAAGAAAACUCAAGAGAGAAUUCUUGGAGAAAACCCCAAAGAAAAUUCUGCACUCAACAAAUCUAAAAUUUGAUAGAAAAAAUAAUAAUAAGAUGUGUUUACAAAGGGUGGCUGGCCAAUGCUUAUAUAGGCCUCCAACAAAUCCUGAUCUCACAAGUAACUAAUAAAAAAUUAAACCUAAUUAAUAAAAUAACAAGGUAAAUUCGGCCAUGCACUUAUAUCGGCUGUUUUGGACCGAAUUUUACAUGUAAUGCUCCUAAAGAUUAAGAAAAUUAAAUUAAACAAGUAAGAUGUUUACAAAUUGGGCCCUUUGACAUUUUGGCCUGAUUUUCAACUAAGUAUGAAGAAAUUUCUUGAUUGGGCUGGAUUUUGGUUAUUGGGCCUCGCCUUCAAGAAUUUGGGCUCGUGAUCCAUCUCCUACCAAAAUUGGGUCGUUGACGCUCGUAAUGGAGAUCCAAUGCGUUUUGGCUGCAAGAUUUGGUUUCUUGGACCAAGAUUUCCAAGAUUUGAAAUCUUGAUUUUCUUGAUUCUUGAAAUCUCUUCGAACAGCAAAAUUGGGCCAAGAUUCGGUUUCUUGAUUUUCUUGAAAACAAGAAAGUGAAUCUUGAUUUUCUUGUUCUCUCGUGUAUGCAUCUAAGGCCUUGCUAACAAGCUCUUGAAUGGUCCCAUUUAGUUUGGACCGCAUUUGUCGGGCCUUUGAUCUCGUUAUUGGGCCUUGUGGCAAUUUGAGCCCAUCACGUUCUUGAACUUGGAUUGGGCCUUUAUGACUCGUAUCACAAAUACUUCAAGGACUCGUGAUCGGUAUGUAUUACGAAUUGUUUGGGCCAAAGAUAGUUGAUACGAGUCACAAAGGCCUUAGAUGCGUAUACGAAAGAAAGAGAAAAUCAAGAUUCACUUUCUUAUUUUUAAGAAAAUCAAGAAACCGAAUCUUGGUCCAAUUUUGCUGUUUUGAGCAAUUUCAAGAAUCAAGAAAAUUAAGAUUUCAAAUCUUGGAAAUCUUGAUCCAAGAAACGGAAUCUUGCAACUAAGGUGCAUUGUAUAUCAGUUACGAGCAUUAACAAGCCAAUUUCAGGAGAGAACGAAUUACAAGCCCAAGUUCUUGAAGAUAAGGCCCAAUAAGAUGUUCCAAGCCCAAUCCAGAAGUUUAAAUUAGACUUAGCUGAAAUUCAGGCCAAAUUGUCAAAGUGGCCCAAUUUAAUUAUUUAAAUACUUAAUUUUAAUUUUUAGACUUUAUGAAUAAAUUUCUAUGUAAAAAUUCAGUCCAAGAGGCUCAUUUAAAGGCCUUGGACGAAAUUCCCCUUUAAAAGUCAAAAUUAGGGUUUUUUUUUAAGUUUUACUAGUAGGGCUAGGAAAGUAGUUAGGAGGCCUAUAUAUAUGGCUUGACCAGCCACCCUUAAACACAUUGAAUUACACAGUACAAUACAAUAAAAUUUCAGAUUUUUGCUGAGUAAAAAUUCUCUUAGAGUUUUCUCCAAGAAUUCUCUCUUGAGUUUCUUUAGAAGUAGUUUUAACAAUCUUUUUGAUUGUGGGAGCCAUCUUCAGCCUUCUUCUUACCAUUGUUCUUCAUUGGAGGGGAGAUUAGAGCCGUUUGAAGGGAGUUGUGAAAUCUUUAUCGAUUUCAAGGCUUCUUAGGACUUUAUCUUUAUUUUCUUGCUGUUCAAUCUCUUUUAAAUUUCUGCUUGUGUCGAUUUUUAUUAGCUAAUUUGUUUGUUGUUCUUGUUGCGUUUCAGCCUUUCUAAAACUCCAAUAUCUGAUUCGGCACUUCCUUGGACAUAAAGAAACGUUUUUGAUUUCACAAAACCCCUCUUUUCUUGCCGUCCAAUUCCUAGAAUUAGUUUCAAUUGAUUUCGUAAUUUGUUUUAAUUUAUUUGCUAUUUUGUGUUCUUUGAUAGAUUCGGCUGAUUGGAAGUUAAUCUUGGGGCUUAAUUCCGCGUUCUUGGUUUCCAAUAUUGGCUAUCUAUAAGUGUUUUGAUUCUUGGCUUGUUCUUUAUUGAUUUGGGGAUUUUUAGUUUCCAGAUCUAAUUGAUUCUAAUUAAGUUUUGCUGUUUCGUUUCAGAUCCAAACGUUUAGAGUUUUUGUAGGAGUUUCCCGUGACUUGACAACUCGAUCUUGGUCCACGUGCAACCCUCUAUCAAUAGUGCUGCCAUGUUUCUAAAGCUCGAAUCAAUGAGUAGAGCUCCUUGUCGUUCGUCGGAUAGUUUAGUACGGCAUCAUUGAGUUUCUCACUAAAAUACGCGAUAGGGCGUCCAUCUUGCAUCAACUCGGCUCCAAUACCUAAACCUGAUGCAUCACAUUCUAACUCAAAAGUUUUAUCAAAAUUUGGCAAUGCUAAUAAGGGUGCAUGAGUUAAACAAUCUUUAAUUUUCAGAAAUGAUUUUUCUUGUUCAUCUCCCCAUAUGAAGUCAGAAUUCUUAUGGAUAACCCCAGUUAAGGGUGCGGCCAAAGUACUAAAGUUUGGCGCGAACCGUUGAUAAAAGCUGGCUAAUCCAUGGAAACUUCGAACUUGGGAGACAUUUCUCGGGUGGGGCCAUUCUUGGAUCGCCUUGACCUUCUCUUGAUCAACUUCAAGGCCCUUCGUGCUAACAACGAAUCCUAAAAACACAAUUUUGUUAGUACAAAAAUCGCAUUUCUUCAAAUUAGCAUAUAAAGUUUCUUUCCUCAAAACCUCCAAAACAGCCUUUAAAUGCAUUACAUGGUCAUCCAAAGUCUUACUAUAAAUCAAGAUAUCAUCGAAAUAUACUACGCAAAAUCUACCAAUAAAAGGUCUUAAAAUGUGAUUCAUAAGUCUCAUGAACGUGCUGAUACGACCAUGCCCCGGGCACACUUUUGGAUCAGCUCCCUAAGCAUUGUUUGCAAAUCCAUACGAGCUGAAUUAGUUCAAUUUCAUUUCGUUAAGCUCCGUUUAGCUCGUUUCCAGCUCACACGAGCUCAAGUCAACUCACUCAAGCUCAAUUCAGCUCAAUCUUAACCCAAUGAGCUUAUUUUUAGCUUUCUUUAGCUUGCAUUUAUUUUGCUGAAAUAAACCAUUUGAUUUGUCAUUAGUUAAAUUAGUUGUUUAUCUUAAGUUAGUUAAUUUGUUAAAAUCUGGACAAAUAAUUAAUUAAGUGUUUUAAUUAUAUCUAAAUUAAAUACUUAAUUAAUUAUGAUGUUUUAAAUAUGUCUAAAAUUGUUAAUAUGUAUGGCCAAAUUUAAUGUGCAAAUUAUUGAGUUCAUAUGCUGCUAAUUUAAUGUGUUUGAAAUGCAUUUAACUUGCUGAUUUAAUUUGCUGCAGGUUCAUGAACGGAUUGGUGCAAUGUAUGGGAGUGUGCAUGCACAAUUGAGGUUCAAUGGAUGGCAUUUAAAGGAGCACAUGCAUUUGGGACGUUCAUGCAAGAGGGAGUUGCUGAAAGUUCAUGUAUUUGAAGAUUCAUGGAUCAUAUUUAUGGGGGAAAAUACAUGGGACGUUUCAUGCAUGAUUCAUGCAUUUUCAAGAUGACCAUUCAAGUAUUUUAGGCACAUUAAUGCCUCAUUCAGCCAAGGGAGAUGUAGGAUCAUUAAAGAGCUGCACAUUCAUGGAAUUAUGGAGAUUCUUCAAGGCUAAGGAUGCAUGAAUGCAUCAAGUGAAGCAUCAUGAUGGUUCGGCCAAUUCAUGUACCAUCUUCAAGCAUGAACUGGAUUUUAAUGCUAUUUGUGUGAACAUGUUAAAUACCUGUGUGAACAGAAUUUAAGUUAGUGUGAACAACAUAGAUGCCGAAUAUCAAUAGGCAUUUUAGGCUUAUAAAUAGCUUACUUGUUUAUUGUAAAAGGUUACAUAAUUUGAUUAUUGAAAACUUGAUUGUGAGGUUUCCUCCUAUCCUAUUUCGUACGAGUCUCGUUCUGACUUAUCUAGCUCACUAGUGGCGUCAACCCGACUUCUUGAACUUAUCACCAUCCUGGUGUGGCGUUCAUCCACCUUUUUAUACCUUUGGUUCCAACCUCUCUAUAGGUAACGGGUCAAGGUCCAUCUUCGACAAUCCAUUUAAUCCUUCUUGAGCAAUAUAAGUCCCGGGGCAAUACUUCAUAUAGUAUUGAAUCGUUCUUCGCUUGAGUUCUAUUUUUCCAUUCCAUUUUAACUAUUAAAUUAUAAACAAUAUUUCUUUAUUUCACCGAGCCUAUCAAACAUCUAUCCAAACCAUCUUUUGAACCCAUUUUCUCAACUUCCGCUAUAAAAAAAUCAUCUAACUCCAUCUAUCUACAAAAUCGAACAAACUUCUCGUCGACGAUCGGGCAAUCAAGUGAAUCGACUCAAUCAACCAAGCCGGAUCACAUCACGUGCUUGGGGCGUUUGUUAAGCCAAAUGGCAUAACGACCCACUUGUAAAGCCCAUGUGAUACGAACUCGUUUCGUGAUUGAUUCGAGUCGUUAGUGAUGCCCGAUCGUGAAUUGAGUAGAAUAGAACCGUUUCGGUUUAAAGGAAACAAAAUAGAAAUAAUGGCUUCAAACAAAGGUAAUAAACAAAAUAGAUAGGAAACAAUAACAAAUUAAUUGGACAAGACCGAGAAUGAACCAACAAAUAAGGGAAUUGUUGACCCGAAUCUCAAAAUGGUGCUUAGGUGUUUAACGAUUUAAAGAAACAGCAAGAAACCUUGACCCACUAUCAACUAUGAUAGGAACCAAAGGUAUAUUGAACGCCACACCAAAGGUGAUAAGUUCGGUAAACAAAGAAAAGAUGGACGCCACAAGCUAUGCUUGAUAAGUCAAAUCAAUUCCGUAAGAACAAAGAGAAUUGGAUAGCUCACAAUUCAAAUAUAACAUCUAUAUUCAGCAAAAGUCCCCUCUCUAAGGCUGAUUACAACUAUUUAUAAUGCUAGAACAAGGUAACCGAAUGGUCAAAAAAAACAUCCACUUAAUGUGCCAUAAAAACUGAUGUCUUUUCUUAUGCUUUGAACCAAAUAACUCCUUCCAUAAAAUCAUUUCAAUUCAGCUGAUUUGAAUGUCUUUAAUGUCUUAAAAAUGUCUCUUGAGUUGUCCUUGGCUAGCUGAAUAGACACCAUCUUUUAACCUGCUCCUUAAUGACAUUCAAAGGUUUGAUUAAUUUCUCUUGAAAGCUCCAAAAACGGCUGGAAGUGGAAGAGUUGCUGCUGAAUUUUAAAGGGCAUAAAAUGCUCUUUAAAAACUCCUUUUAAUGAUCUUUAAGCUCCUUUUUUUAACAGCCCCUUUAAUUGUAACUCAAAAGAACUUGAACAGCCACUUAUUAAAUGUGUAACAGCCUUGAAUUGUAACCACUAUAAGCUAAAAAGUCACCUGUAAUAAACACAUUAAAAUGAGUUUAUUAAACACAUUAAAACACUUAUUAAUCAUAACACAUAUUAAACUUACUUAAAUAAAUGAACUAAAACAUAUAUGCAAUAAUUAUUCCAGCAACUAGUUUAAUUAAAGAAGCAUAAUUUAAAGAACUUAAUUUAUGCAUCAAUAAAUAAUCCUAGGAACUAGAUCAAUUAAGAAGCAUAUUAUUUAAUAAAGUUCAAUAACUAACUCAUUUAUUAAAACUUUAAGAUAAGUUAAAUUAAUUGAUCAGCAACUUAUUUAUUAAACUAAAACAAGUUAAUUAAAAGAAACAAAUUCAGCUUGCAAUAAAUUGCAAGUAACGCCUUUUGAACGGUUUGAAGCACGACUAUUAAAUUCGGCCACUCCCUCUUCCCAAGCUCGUUCCACAUAGCUUGCUAUUACAUUUUGAAAUCUCUUAGCUCGUGAUCGAGUUAUUGGUCCUCGUGGCAGCUCAAUGGAUUCGGUAGUAAUUUCCCGGGCUAAGGUUGCAUCAUUCCCCCCCUCUUCGAGGCGAUUUGCUCCCAAAUCGUCACCUACAUCGAAAAGAGAUAAAUCAGCAACAUUAAAAGUAGCACUAACCCCAUACUCACCAAGUAAAUCUAACUUAUAAGCGUUAUCAUUAAUUCUCUCCAAGACUUGAAAAGGUCCAUCUCCUCGUGGUAAUAGUUUGGAUCGUCUUUGAACGGGAAAUCUCUCCUUGCGCAUGUGAAUCCAAACCCAAUCACCAGGUUCAAAUAUUACUCGUUUACGGCCCUUGUUAACUUGAUGUGCAUAUUGCUCCGUUCUUCGUUCAAUAUUAUCCCUAACUCGCUGAUGUAAUUGUUUCACAAAAUCUGCCUUUUUCUUUCCAUCUACAUGCACCAAUUUAUCAAAAGGUAAAGGCAAUAAAUCCAAUGGAGUUAAGGGAUUAAAUCCAUACACUACCUCAAAUGGUGAAAACUUGGUAGCUGAAUGUACCGAUCGAUUGUAUGCAAAUUCAAUGUGAGGUAGACACUCCUCCCAAGUUUUUAAAUUCUUACGUAUAAUGGCCCGCAGUAGUGUUGACAGAACUCUAUUAACAACCUCUGUUUGGCCAUCAGUUUGGGGAUGACUUGUUGUGGAAAAUAAUAGCUUAGUUCCAAUCUUUCCCCAUAAAGUCCUCCAAAAGUGGCUGAGAAAUUUAGUGUCUCGAUCCGAAACAAUGGUUCUUGGAAUUCCAUGCAAUCGUACAAUCUCCCUAAAAAAUAGAUUGGCAACAUUUAAAGCAUCAUAAGUUUUGUUACCUGCAAUGAAAUGAGCCAUUUUUGAAAACCGAUCAACUACAACAAACACAGAAUCUUUGCCAUUCUUUGUUCUAGGAAGACCCAAAACAAAGUCCAUAGAAAUAUCCAUCCAUGGCAUUUCUGGGAUCGGUAAUGGAGUAUAGAGUCCAUGUGGCUGGACCCUUGAUUUUGCCUUCUUGCAAACAAUACAGCGAUUGCACACUUUAGCCACAUCUCGUUUCAUCUUUGGCCAAUAAAAGUGUUCUUGAAGAACGGCCAAAGUUUUGGCAAUACCAAAAUGUCCCAUUAAACCCCCACUAUAUGCUUCAUGAACCAGCAAAUUUCUAGUUGAUCCUUGGGGUAUGCACAACUUAUUUUCUCGAAAUAGGAAUCCAUCUUGCUGAUAGUACUUGUCAUACGCACCUUGCACACAUAACUUGUAAACUUCUCCAAAAUCAGAAUCAUCAGCAUAUAAUUCCUUUAAAUAAGCAAAACCAAGUAACUUAACAUCCAAAUAAUUUAAAAGAGCAUACCUUCGCGAUAAAGCAUCUGCAACGAUAUUUUCCUUACCUUGCUUAUACUUAAUCACAUAUGGAAAGGAUUCUAAGAAUUCUACCCAUUUUGCAUGUCGUUUGUUAAGCUUAGUUUUCCCUCUCAAAUGCUUCAAAGCCUCAUGGUCCGUGUGUAUAACGAACUCCUUAGGCCAAAGGUAAUGCUGCCAUGUUUCUAAUGCACGUAUCAAUGCGUACAUUUCUUUGUCAUAGGUGGGAUAAUUGAGCGUAGCUCCAUUAAGUUUCUAGCUAAAAUAAGCCACCAGUCGCCCAUCUUGCGUUAAAACCGCACCUAUUCCUAUUCCAGAAGCAUCACAUUCUACCUCGAAAAUUUUGUUAAAAUUCGGCAAACAUAAAAGUGGAGCAUUAGUCAAGCAAUCUUUGAUUUUAACAAAAGCAGAUUCUUGUUCAUCAGACCAAAUAAAAGGUGAAUUUUUUUAUAAUACCGGUUAAUGGGGCAGCAAGAGUGCUAAAAUUCGGUACAAACCUCCUAUAGAAGCUUGCAAGGCCAUGAAAACUUCUAACUUGGCUGAUGUUAUUCGGUCGUGGCCAUUCUUGUAUUGCUUUAAUCUUCUCUUGGUCCACCUCUAGUCCAUUCACACUUACAACAAAACCUAGAAAAACAACUUUGUCAGUACAAAAGUUACAUUUCUUAAGGUUUGCAUAUAAUACUUCCUUUCGUAAAACCUUCAAAAUAGCAUGCAAAUGUUCAAGAUGUUCAGUUAAUGAUUUGCUGUAAAUUAAAAUAUCGUCAAAAUAAACUACGCAAAAUCGACCAAUGAAAGACCUCAAAACGUGGUUCAUCAACCUCAUGAAAGUACUCGGUGCAUUGGUGAGGCCAAAAGGCAUCACUAACCACUCAUACAAACCGUAUUUAGUCUUAAAUGCAGUCUUCCACUCGUCCCCCUCCCGCAUACGAAUUUGAUGAUAGCCACUUUUUAGAUCAAUCUUAGAGAACAAUUUUGCACCACUAAGCUUGUCCAACAUAUCAUCAAGUUUAGGAAUGGGAUGUCGGUAUUUGACGGUAAUUUUGUUGAUAGCUCGGCAAUCUACGCACAUCCUCCAUGAACCAUCUUUUUUAGGCACCAACAGAACGGGAACCGCACAUGGACUUAAACUCUCCCGUAUAUAGCCUUUUUCCAUUAAUUCCGCUACUUGUCGUUGCAACUCUUUAGUUUCCUCUGGGUUGCUUCGAUAAGCUAGUCGAUUUGGAAUUGUAGCUCCAGGAAUAAAGUCUAUUUGGUGUUCAAUACCUCGAAAAGGAGGCAAUCCACUUGGCACAUCUUCCGAAAAAAUGUCUUUGAAUUCCUGAAGCAAUGAAACAAUAGACAAAGGUAAAGAAUUAUCAAGUUCAUUAGCAUCAAAUAAGCAUUCCUUGUACAUAAGUACAAGUACGGGUUGAUGCAACAACAAUGAUUUUCUUAUCUCUUUUUCUCUCGCAAAUACGCUCAUUUUACCACUCUCAAUUUCUUUUUGACUUUCUUGUUCCUCUCGUACUUUUACCUCCACUCCCUCAAUUUUUUCUUUCUUUUUUUCAUUUUUCUUGUCUCUCUCUUUUUCAAUCUUUUCCUUCAACUUCAAUUGAUCUUGGUACACUUGCUUUGGAGUCAAUGGCGCUCAAGUUACAUUCUUGCCUCGAUGCUUGAAUGUAUAACGAUUUGUAUAACCAUCAUAGAUCACGCGCCUAUCAAACUGCCAUGGACGUCCCAAAAGUAGAUGUCCCGCAUGCAUAGGAACUACAUCGCACACCACUUCAUCUUGGUACUUUUCAAUAGAAAAUGCCACCACAGUUUGUUUUGUUACUUUCAGCUCACCUCCAUCAUUUAGCCAUUGCAACUUGUAUGGAGUUGGAUGUUUAGUUGUAGCCAAACCUAGCUUUUCUACCAACAUAAUACUAGCUACAUUAGUACAGCUACCACCAUCAAUGAUCAUACUACAUACCUUGCCUUGAAUGUGGCAUCGAGUGUGAAAAAUAUUCUCCCUUUGUUGAUCAGUUUCAACACUUUGAAUACUGAGGCUACGCUUCACCACAAGAAUUUCUCCUUCAACGGGUAACUCUAAAUCUUCAUCAUCGGAUGGCAUUUUAGGUUCAUUUUCAUCCUCUUCCUCCGACUCAACUUCUCCAUCAGCUCUUAUCACCAUAAUUCGUCGAUUGGGACAUUGAUUAGCUAUGUGCCCUCGGCCUUGACACUUGAAACAUCUUAUGUCUCUCGUGCGAUUUGGCGCUUGCUCUUUUUUAUUUCGACUUGUCUCUCCAACGAGUUGAUUUGAUUUAACUGCUACAGUCAGCUCUUUUGUUCUAACAAGGGGUUUGUUGACUCCUUGAUUCCAUUUGUUGAUUGAAGAAUUGGCAUAGGGUCUACUAACUCCUUUUCGCUUAAGUUGCUUUUCAACCUUAAUCGCCAUGUGAACCAUGUCCAUCACUUCAACAUAGUGUUGUAGUUCAACUAUGUUGGCAAUGUCACGGUUUAAACCCGCAAGGAACCUAGCCAUGGUUGCCUCUCGAUCCUCCUCGAUAUCAGCUCGAAUCAUCGCUAUCUCCAUCUCCUUAUGUAAGGUUCAACACUUCUAUUUCCUUGAGUAAGGUUUUGAAGUCGUUGAUAAAGAUCUUGAUGAUAGUAUGAUGGAAUAAAUCUUUUCCGCAUGACUGAUUUCAUUUCUCCCCAAGUAGAGAUGGGUCUUUCACCAUUUCGUCGUCGACUAGUUACAAGUUGGUCCCACCACACUAUGGCAUAAUCAGAAAACUCAAUUGUCGCGAGUUUCACCUUUUUACUCUUCGAAUAGUUGUGGCAAUCAAAAACAAGCUCAAUCUUCUUUUCCCACUCCAAAUAAGCUUCAGGGUCAUUCUUACCUUGGAAUGGUGGAAUUGUCAUCUUGAUAUUCUUAAGAUUGUCAUCUGGUCGUUCACGAUCUCUAGGACCUUGUUGUCAUUGACGGCCUCGACGUCGUACACUUUGGGCAGAUGAGUGAUCACUUUCUUGUCCACUUACUUCAUAAGGAUCUUGAAUUGGACGUUCUCGCUCUUGUCUUGCAUCUUCCGGAGUCAUCUCACUUUGUUCUUGUCUCUCGACUCGAUAUAAUCGAUCUUCAAUUGGUUCAAGUUUUCUAUCAAAUAAUCGCUCCAUCUCUCGCAUAAUUGCUUGAAGGGUAAGAUCUGGCACUCCUCCUCCAACAUUUCUUACGGGACGGAACCCUCCUUCCACAUUUUGAUUUCUUUCCGGACUUCGUGACAUAUUUUUUUUAAAAUGAACUCACAACAAAGAAUCUCACUAUCCACUCACAAAGAAAUCUCACUUCCUUGGCUUUUAUACUCUCGAAUAAACUCACCACUUGAUGUGAGCUUGCCUACAAACCAAAUGGAGAACGAACAAGAAGCCAUUAAGCUGCCCAUUGGUCCAAUAACGCGAGCUAAAGCUAGACGAUUCAAAGAUGCUAUUUUAGCAAUGGUGGAACGGGUUGAGGAAAAUGAUAGCAAGGAGUUUAAAAACGAGCUGAACAUAUUCAACUUCUUUGAAGCUGAAUUUCGUUCUAGCUAAUUAAUUUGCUACUGGAAUUUUAGACCAUUUAAAUAAGCAUUUAAAUAAGUUUCAUUACAGCUUUUAAAUAUGUCUUAAUUUAUUACAAGUGUUUAAUAUGUUGAUUUGGUUGAAUUAAAGGUGUCUAGAUGUCAUUUAAUUUGUUUGAAUAUAUUACAUGAAUUAACUAUGUUCAGUCGAAUUAAUGUGUCUUGUUUAGUACAUAUUUAAUUCGGCUUAAUGUUAAUUAGUAUGUUCAUAUUAUGUUUUAAAUUAAUUCAGCUGAAUUGAGUUAAAUUAAUGAGGUUCAUUUGUUUUAUUUAGGUUCAGCCGAAUGUGGAAGAUGCAUGGGAAAGGUUGGCCGAAUGUGGUGUGCAAGAUGCAUGCAUGUUGGAUUCAAUGCACCUAAUGAUACAUGCAUGAACUACAUUAAAAAUGGUGUGCUGAUUAUUGAAGUUCUCUAAGUGACCAUUCGGCUAAAGAGAUAGUUUUUCAAGCUGCCAUUAUUUCCUUCACAUUGCUGGAUACAUUUUGGCCAUUCGGUUCUUGGUGUUCACAUUUUAAGGCUCUUCAAAACCGUCCAUUCACACCUAAUGUGGCUGUUCAAGUGCCCUCUUUAUUAUUGAUAAUUUUUCAGCAAGAGUUGCCUAUUGAAUGAUCAUUUAAGCUCAUCAGCUGAAUGUAGCUGCUACAUGCAUUCUUAAGAUUCAUUUGCUUAAUAUGGAAGCUUCAUUUAUGGUCACCAUUCAGCCGAACCUACAUUGGCCAUUUUUGUUCAAUGUUUGCUUAGAAACUAAGUCUAGAAUAUGUCCAUUCGGCUACUAGGCAUUAGGCUAUAAAUAGUUACUCAUUUUCUUGUAAAAGGACUUUUGACAAAUUUCUGAAUGAAAUAUCAUUUUAGUGAGGCAAUUCACUCUCUUUAUUCUCCAAAGCUCUAAUUGACUUAUCUUCAACAAGUGGCGUCAAUCUGACUUUGUUUCGAACUUAUCACCAUUGGUGUGGCAUUCUUCAUACCGUAGGUUCCUAUUUUGCUAAAUAGAGGGUCUCAGUUUUAUCCCAAAUCCUUUCUUUCUUUGAAACCUUAAGCCCCGAGUCCUUAUUUGCUAAUAAGGGUUCGACUUGUUUUCAUUGAAAUAUCCAGCAAACAACACUCCAUCAAACUCCCUUGUUUCCCAAAGCCAUUUAAUUUUAAACACCAAGACUUGAAUUUAUUUCAAGGCCGACACUACCUAAUUUCGAUCGGGAAAUAUUAUGACUCAUUAUUUCAUACGAAACAAGCUCGUAUCACCACUCUCUUGCCUCUUUCCACUCACUCCUCCUCUCUAAGUUCUUAGGAAUUAUUUAAACUUAAAAAGCAGUUGUUGUGGGUCGGCUUACAACCUUGAUGUUUGGGCUUGGUAAGAAUAUUGUAGGACAAAGGAAAGUAGGCUUGAAACAAGAAAUGAAAAGGUGGGAUGUGGCGAAAUAGUAGAAGGUAGUAAUAACUAUAAUUUGGGCAGCAAACAACAACAAAAUUUCAAAACUAGCUUCUUCUUUUUUUUUCACGAAUUUUUUUUUCACGAAAUUUUUUUUUCAACUUGAUAUCCAAUCUCUUGGGUUUGAAAGGAAACCAAUUAUUUUUUGAAUUUUUUUUCAAAUUUUUUUUCAAAUUUUUUUGAAGAAACUACUAUACCGUAUUGCCGACAAUGUCGAUUCUUACUCCAAAUUUGCUAGCUCUGAUACCAAUUUGAUACGAACUCGUUUCGUGAUUGAUUCGAGUCGUUAGUGAUGCCCGAUCGUGAAUUGAGUAGAAUAGAAUCGUUUCGGUUUAAAGGAAACAAAAUAGAAAUAAUGGCUUCAAACAAAGGUAAUAAACAAAAUAGAUAGGAAACAAUAAUAAAUUAAUUAGAUAAGACCGAGAAUGAACCAACAAAUAAGGGAAUUGUUGACCCGAAUCUCAAAAUGGUACUUAGGUGUUUAACGAUUUAAAGAAACAGCAAGAAACCUUGACCCACUAUCAACUAUGAUAGGAACCAAAGGUAUAUUGAACGCCACACCAAAGGUGAUAAGUUCGGUAAACAAAGAAAAGAUGGACGCCACAAGCUAUGCUUGAUAAGUCAAAUCAAUUCUGUAAGAACAAAGAGAAUUGGAUAGCUCACAAUUCAAAUAUAACAUCUAUAUUCAGCAAAAGUCCCAUCUCUAAGGCUGAUUACAACUAUUUAUAAUGUUAGAACAAGGUAACCGAAUGGUCAAAAAAAAAACAUCCACUUAAUGUGCCAUAAAAACUGAUUUCUUUUCUUAUGCUUUGAACCAAAUAACUCCUUCCAUAAAAUCAUUUCAAUUCAGCUGAUUUGAAUGUCUUUAAUGUCUUAAAAAUGUCUCUUGAGUUGUCCUUGGCUAGCUGAAUAGACACCAUCUUUUAACCUGCUCCUUAAUGACAUUCAAAGGUUUGAUUAAUUUCUCUUGAAAGCUCCAAAAACGGCUGGAAGUGGAAGAGUUGCUGCUAAAUUUUAAAGGGCAUAAAAUGCUCUUUAAAAACUCCUUUUAAUGAUCUUUAAGCUCCUUUUUUUAAUAGCCCCUUUAAUUGUAACUCAAAAGAACUUGAACAGCCACUUAUUAAAUGUGUAACAGCCUUGAAUUGUAACCACUAUAAGCUAAAAAGUCACAUGCAAUAAACACAUUAAAAUGAGUUUAUUAAACACAUUAAAACACUUAUUAAUCAUAACACAUAUUAAACUUACUUAAAUAAAUGAACUAAAACAUAUAUGCAAUAAUUAUUCCCGCAACUAGUUUAAUUAAAGAAGCAUAAUUUAAAGAACUUAAUUUAUGCAUCAAUAAAUAAUCCUAGGAACUAGAUCAAUUAAGAAGCAUCUUAUUUAAUAAAGUUCAAUAACUAACUCAUGUAUUAAAACUUUAAGAUAAGUUAAAUUAAUUGAUCAGCAACUUAUUUAUUAAACUAAAACAAGUUAAUUAAAAGAAACAAAUUCAGCUUGCAAUAAAUUGCAAGUAACGCCUUUUGAACGGUUUGAAGCACGACUAUCAAAUUCGGCCACUCCCUCUUCCCAAGCUCGUUCCACAUAGCUUGCUAUUACAUUUCGAAAUCUCUUAGCUUGUGAUCGAGUUAUUGGUCCUCGUGGCAGCUCAAUGGAUUCGGUAGUAAUUUCCCGGGCUAAGGUUGCAUCACCAUGCUUUGUUUUGAAAGUAUUCUUCCAUUCAUCACCUUCACGCAUUUGUAUUUGGUGAUAUCCUCUUUUAAGAUUGAUUUUUGAAAACAAACUCGUGCCACUUAGCUCGUCAAGCAUAUCAUCCAAUCGCGGUAUAGGAUGCUGAUAUUUGAUGGUUAUUUUAUUUAUAGCACGGCAGUCUACACACAUCCUCCACGUUCCAUCCUUCUUAGGAACUGACAAAACAGGAACGGCGCAGAGACUAAGGCUUUCACGCACAUAGCCCUUCUCAAGAAGUUCAUUCACUUGCUUUUGUAGUUCUUUCGUCUCUUCAGGAUUGCUCCAGUAAGCAGGACGGUUUGAAAUAGCGGCUCCCAGCACAAAAUCUAUUUGAUGUUCAAUUCCAUGAAUAGGUGGCAACCUACUCGGGAUUUCUUCCGGGAAUACAUCUCGAAAUUCCUGCAACACAGACAAAAUAGAAGAGGGUAACUUGUCAUCAAAUUCGUUAGUACCAAGCAGACUUUCCUUGUACAAAAGAACCAACAAUGGUUGUUUCAACAACACCGAUUUCCUAACUUCUCUCUCUUUUACAUACAAACUCUUUUUUUCAUUUUCAUCACUCGUCUCUUUUUCUUUUUCUCUUGCAUCGUUCUCUCUCUUUUUAUCACUCAUUUUUUUGCUUUUCUUCUUUUCUACACUCUUUUCUUUAUUCUUUUCAUUUUUUUGCUCUUGCUCAUUUUCUUUUGAUGUUUCAAUAGAACUCCUGAUACGAGUCACAAAGGCCCAACCCAAGCUCAAGAACGUGAUGGGCUCAAAUUACCACAAGGCCCAAUAACGAGGUCAAAGGCCCGACAAAUGCAUUCCAAACUAAAUGGGACCAUUCAGGAAUUUGUUAGCAAGGCCUUAGAUGCGUACACAAAAGAAAGAGAAAAUUAAGAUUCACUUUCUUGUUUUCAAGAAAAUCAAGAAACCGAAUCUUGGCCCAAUCUUGCUGUUUGGAGCGAUUUCAAGAAUCAAGAAAAUCAAGAUUUCAAAUCUUAGAAAUCUUGGUCCAAGAAACCGAAUCUUGCAGCCAAAGCGCAUUGGAUCUUCCUUACGAGCAUCAACGAACCAAUUUCGAUAGGAGAUGGACUACAAGCCCAAGUUCUUGAAGGCAAGGCCCAAUAAGAGGAUUCCAAGCCCAACCAAGAAGUCAAACAAUACUUAGUUGAAAAUCAGGUCAAAUUGUUAAAGUGGCCCAAUUUGUAAAAAAUUUUAAUUGUUUAAUUUAAUUUUUAGACUUUAGGAGUAUUAUAUGAAAAAAUUCGGCCCAAGCAGCCCAUUAAAAUGACUUGGCCAAAUUUCCCUAUUAAAUUUGUUAAUUAGGUUUUUUUUAAGUUUUCCUAAUGAGAUUAGGAAAUAGUUAUAAGGCCUAUUUAUAGGCAUGGCUGGCCACCCUUGUUAGACACAUUACAAUACAUUAAAAUUUCAGAUUUUUGCUGAGUAAAAAUUCUCUUAGAGUUUUCUCCAAGAAUUCUCUCUUGAGUUUCUUUAGAAGUGGUUUUAACAAUCUUUUUUAUUGUGGGAGCGAUCUUCAGCCUUCUUCUUGCCAUUGUUCUUCAUUGGAGGGGAGAUUAGAGACAUUUGAAGGGAGUUGUGAAAUCUUUCAGGAUUUCAAGGCUUCUUAGGACUUUAUCUUUAUUUUCUUGCUGUUCAAUCUCUUUUAAAUUUCUGCUUGUGUCAAUUUUUAUUAGCUAAUUUGUUUGCUGUUCUUGUUGCAUUUCUGCCUUUCUAAAACUGAUAGGGGGUUGUGCGCGGACCAAGAUUGAGUUGCUAAGUCACAAGAUUAAAUCUAAUCAAAUCUGAAAUUAAAAUCCUCAAAAACAACUAAGAACUGUGAUACGAGUCACAAAGGCCUUGGAUGCAUACACAAAAGAAUGAGAAAAUCAAGAAUCACUUUCUUGUUUUCAAGAAAAUCAAGAAACCGAAUCUUGGCCCAAUCUUUCUGUUUGGAACAAUUUCAAGAAUCAAGAAAAUCAAGAUUUCAAAUCUUGGAAAUCUUGGUCCAAGAAAUCGAAUCUUGCAGCCAAAGCGCAUUGGAUCUCCGUUACGAGCAUCAACGAAUCAAUUUCAGUCGAAGAUGGACUACAAGCCCAAGUUCUUGAAGGCAAGGCCUAAUAAGAAGAUUCCAAGCCUAAUCAAGAAACCCAUACAUAGUUGAAAAUCAGGCCAAAAUGUCAAAGGGCCCAAUUUGUAAACAUUUUGAUUUGUUAAUUUAAUUUUUUAGGCUCUAGGAAUAUUACAUGUUAAAUUCGGCCCAAAACAGUACAUUUAAGUGCCUGGCCGAAAUUCUUUUAUUAUUUUAUUAAUUAGGGUUAAUUUUUUAAGUUUCCUAAUGAGAUUAGGAUUAGUAUGAGGCCUAUUUAAAUGAUGGCCGGCCACCCCUUGUACUCACUUCUCAAAUAUAUUAAAAUUUCAGAUUUGUUUAAGUGCAAAUUCUCCUUGAGUUUUUUUCCAAGAAUUCUCUCUUGAGUUUUCUUUAGAAGUUGUUUUAACAAUCUUUUGAUUGUGGGAGCCAUCUUCAGCCUUCUUCUUGCCAUUGAUAUUCUUUGGAGGGGAGAUUAGAGCCGUUUGAAGGGAGUUGUGAAAUCUUUCAGGAUUUCAAGGCUUCUUAGGACUUUUCUUUAUUAUAUUGCUGUUCAUUCUUUAUUAAAUUCUGCUUGUGUCGAUUUGUUGAAUAAUUUGGGAUUAAUUGUUCUUGUUGCGUUUCAGCCUUUCUAAAACUCCAAGAUCUGAUUCGGCACUUCCUUGGACAUAAAGAAACAUUUUUUAUUUCACAAAAACCCCUCUUUUCUUGCCGUCCAAUCCCUAGAAUUAGUUUCAAUUGAUUUCGUAAUUUGUUUUAAUUUAUUUGUUGUUUUGUGUUCUUUGAUAGAUUCGUCUGAUUGGAAGUUAAUCUUGGGGCUUAAUUUCGUGUUCUUGGCUUCCAAGAACAUCUAUUCAUAAGUGUUUUGAUUCUUGGCUAUUCUUUAUUGACUUGGGAAAUUUUUUAGUUUCCAGAUCUAAUUGCUUCUAAUUAAGUUUUGCUAUUUCGUUUCAGAUCCAAACGUUUAGAGUUUUCGUAGGAGUUUCCUGUGACUUGACAACUCGAUCUUGGUCCACGCGCAACCCUCUAUCAAACAACCAAGAAUCAAAAAACUUAAGAAUAGAUGUUUUCAGAAUGCAAGAGCACAAAAUCGACCACCAAGAGUGAUUCCUAAUCAAUCGAACCUGUCAAGAAAACCCAAAAUCGCAAACAAAUUAGGAGUGAUCGGAUUCUUAUUAGGAUUUAGGGAUUGGUGCGAUAAGAAGAAAAGAAAGAAAAUUGAUGAAAUAAGUCAAAUCUUGAAACCCAAAAUAGAUUGCGAUUCUGCUCAAUCAAACACCCAAAAUAGUUUCCCCAAAAUUCAGCAAUCGAAUUGCACCCAAGAAGACUAAGGAUGAAUCGGCAAGAACCCUAGAAAUUGGGGAUUUUAGGCCGAAUUCUUUGCUGCCAACAAGAGGAGUAUUGAUCGAUUCUUUAAGAUGGAAAAGAACUAGAAACACAAAGAAAACAACAAACGGAUUAGAUAAAGAUUCGGCACAAGCAGAAUUAAAGAAAAGAAUUUGAACAGCAAAUAAUUUAAAGAUCAGUCCUAAGAAGCCUUGAAAUCUUGAAAGAUCUCACAACUCCCUUCAAACGGCUCUAAUCUCCCCUCCAAAGAAUAUCAAUGGCAAGAAGAAGGCUGAAGAUGGCUCCCACAAUCAAAAGAUUGUUAAAACAACUUCUAAAGAAAACUCAAGAGAGAUUGCUUGGAGAAAAACUCAAGGAGAAUUCUGCACUUAAACAAAUCUGAAAUUUUUGAUAUAUUUGAGAAGUGAAUAACAAGGUGGCCGGCCAAGCCUUUAUAUAGGCCUCUCAAGUGUUUUCCUAAUCUAAUUAGAAAACUAAAAAUAAAAAAUUCCUAAUUAUUUUAAUAUUUAAAUGGAAAUUCAGCUAAGGGCUUUUAAUUGGGCCUUUUGGACUAAAUAUCUACAUAAAAAUUUAAACUAAGUAUUUUAAAAAAUAAAACUUUACAAAUUGGGCCACUUUGACAAUUUGGCCUGAUUUUCAAGUAAGUAUGGUUUGUCUUCUUGUUUGGGCUUGGAUUCAUCUUAUUGGGCCUUGCCUUCAAGAACUUGGGCUUGUAUUCCAUCUCUUACCGAAAUUGGGUCAUUGAGGCUCGUAACGGAGAUCCAAUGCGAUUUGGCUGCAAGAUUUGGUUUCUUGGACCAAGAUUUCCAAGAUUUGAAAUCUUGAUUUUCUUGAUUCUUGAAAUCACUCCAAACAACAAGAUUGGGCCAAGAUUCGGUUUCUUGAUUUUCUCUUUCUCUCGUAUAUGCAUCUAAGGCCUUGCUAACGAACUCCUGGAUGGUCCCAUUUAGUUUGGAAUGCAUUUGUCGGGCCUUUGAUCUUGUUAUUGGGCCUUGUGGUAAUUUGAGCCCAUCACGUUCUUGGGCUUGGGUUGGGCUUUUGUGACUCGUAUCAAAAACUCCAAGAUCUGAUUCAGCACUUCCUUGGACAUAAAGAAACAUUUUUGAUUUCAUAAAAACCCCUAUUUUCUUACUGUCCAAUCCCUAGAAUUAGUUUCAAUUGAUUUCGUAAUUUGUUUUAAUUUAUUUAGUGUUUUGUGUUCUUUGAUAGAUUCGGCUGAUUGGAAGUUAAUCUUGGGGCUUAAUUUCGUGUUAUGGCUUUUAAGAACAUCUAUUCAUAAGUGUUUUUUUAAUUCUUGGUUGUUCUUUAUUGAUUUGGGGAUUUUUAGUUUCCAGAUCUAAUUGAUUCUAAUUAAGUUUUGCUGUUUCGUUUCAGAUCCAAAUGUUUAGAGUUUUCGUAGGAGUUUCUUGUGACUUAACAACUCGAACUUGGUCCACGCACAACCCUCUAUCAACUCCUCAUUUUGAGUUGAUCUUCAUAAACUUGUUUGGGUGUUAGCGGAGCUAACGUCACUGUUUGUCCCAAGUGUUUAAAAGUAAAUUGGUUCGUAUAUCCGUCAUGAAUCGCACAUUUGUCGAAUUGCCAGGGGCGUCCAAGAAGAAGAUGCCUAGCAUGCAUCGGCACAACGUCACACAUCACUUCGUCUUGAUACUUUCUGAUUGAAAAAGAAAUAAGCACUUACUUUGUCACCUUGAGUUCUCCACCAUCGUUCAACCAUUGGAGCUUAUACGGAUGGGGAUGUUUGGUGGUGGCCAAUCCGAGUUUCUCCACCAUCAAUGCACUAGCCACGUUCGUACAGCUUCCUCCAUCGAUUAUAACACAACAAAUCUUACCCUGCACUUGACAUCGCGUAUGGAAGAUAUUUUCGUGUUGUUGUUCAUUUUCAACGCCUUGCAAAGUAAGACUUCUUUUCACAACUAAGAUUUCUCCAUUUUCGGCUUGUUCGACUUCUUCCUCAUCUUCGAGUUGUUCAACGGCCUCAUUCUCUUGUUCACUUUUAGAUUCAAUCUCUCCAUCAUCUCGGACAAACAUCACAUUCCAGUUUGGACAUUGGCUUGUGAUGUGGCCCCUUCCAAGACAUUUGAAACACUUUAUGUCUCGGGAUCUAUUUGGUUGGGCAUCCAUCUUUCCUUUACUCAUUUCAACAAUCGGUUUGUUGAACUUGGUUGCACCACUCACUUCUUUAUUUAGGCUCUGCAUGUCACAUUUGUUGGUCCUUUGCCCCCACCUAGACGUUGAGUAAGUGUUAAGGAAAGUUCGUGACGUACCCUUUCUCUUUAAUUGUUUUUCAACCUUUAUGGCCAUAUGAACCAUAUCAAUGACCUCGACGUAGUGGUGUAGUUCCACAAUAUUUGCAAUAUCACUGUUAAGGCCGGUGAGAAAUCGAGCCAUGGUGGCUUCUCGGUCUUCCUCCACAUCAGCGCGGAUCAUAGCCACUUCCAUUUCCUUGUAGUAAUCUUCCACGCUUUGUUGGCCUUGAGUUAAACUUUGGAGUUUUUGAUACAACUCCCGGUGAUAGUAAGCCAAAAUGAAUCGCUUCCGCAUUAUUGCCUUCAUUUCUGCCCAUGUAUACACGAGACAUUCACCAUUACGUCGUCGACUCAAAGUAAGUUGAUCCUGAUGUGAUCCGGCCUGGGUUAAUUCAAGUCGUUUCGCAAAAUUGCCCGAUAGUCUACAAGGAGUAGUUAGAGUUGUCAAAAUUGGGUGAUUUAGGCUAAGGGUUGCGGAAGCUUUGAGAAGGGUUUAGAUGAGUGGUUUGGUAUUGAUAAAUUCGGUUUAGAAUAGAAACAAGGUAGGUUAGAAAAAGGUAAUUGAUGGAGAUGGAAAAUAAAACUUAAACGUCAAGAAUGUUCAAUACUAAAAAGUAUUGGCCGAGUCUUAUAUUGCUUAAGGUGAAAUCUGAUAAAGGAUAGAAGCGAACCUUGACCCAAUACCUAUAUAGAGGUAAGAACCAAAGGUAUAAAAAUAUGGUUGAACGCCACACCGGUUUGGUGAUAAGUUCAAUUGAGUUUGGAUGGACGCCACUAGCAAGCUAGAUAAGUCGCUUCGAGACUCGAACGAAAGAAGAGAGGAGGUAACCUCACAAGAAAAAAAGUUCUAUUAAGUUUAAUAAUCAAAUUCUGUAACCUUUUACAAUAAACAAGUGAGCUAUUUAUAGGCAAAGACUAAGCUAGCCGAAUGGGCAACUUAAUGGCUAAGAAUCCAGCCAUGAAUAUGCUAGAAAUUUCUAGAAAGAAAUCAUUAAUUUGCUGUAGCUGAAUUCAGCUGAAUGUGCAUGAAUGAAGCAUUAAAAAUUUGGUUCUUGUUUGGAGAUGAUGCAUGGAUUGACCGAAUCAUCAUGUUGCUUCACUUGAUGCAUUCAUGCAUCCUUAACCUUGAAGAAUCUCCAUAAUUCCAUGAAUGUGUAGCCCUUUAAUGAUCCUACAUCUCCCUUGGCUGAAUGAGGCAUUAAUGUGCCUAAAAUACUUGAAUGGUCAUCUUGAAAAUGCAUGAAUCAUGCAUGAAACGUCCCAUGUACUUUUCCCCCAUAAAUAUGAUCCAUGAAUCUUCAUAUACAUGAACUUUCAGCAACUCCCUCUUGCAUGAACGUCCCAAAUGCAUGUGCUACUUUAAAUGCCAUCCAUUGAACCUCAAUUGUGCAUGCACACUCCCAUACAUUGCACCAAUCUGUUCAUGAACUUGCAGCAAAUAACAUCAGCAAGUUAAAUGCAUUUCAGACACAUUAAAUUAGCAGCAUAUGAACUCAAUAAUUUGCACAUUAAAUUCGGCCAUACAUAUUAACAAAUUCAGACAUAUUUAAAACGUCAUAAUUAAUUAAGUAUUUAAUUUAGAUAUAAUUAAAACACUUAAUUAAUUAUUUGUCUAGAUUUUAACAAAUUAAUUAACUUAAAAUAAACAACUAAUUCAACUAAAGACAAAUUAAAUGGUUUAUUUUAGACAAAUAAAUGUGAUACGAGUCACAAAGGCCCAACCCAAGCUCAACAAGGUGAUGGGCUCAAAUCAAGAAAAUCAAGAUUCACUUUCUUGUUUUCAAGAAAGUCAAGAAACUGAAUCUUGGCCCAAUUUUGCUGUUUGGAGCGAUUUCAAGAAUCAAGAAAAUCAAGAUUUCAAAUCUUGGAAAUCUUGGUCCAAGAAACCGAAUCUUGCAGCCAAAGCGCAUUGGAUCUCCGUUACGAGCAUCAACGACCCAAUUUCGGUAGGAGAUGGAUCACGAGCCCAAAUUCUUGAAGGCGAGGCCCAAUAACCAAAUUCCAGCCCAAUUAAGAAAUUCCUUCAUACUUAGUUGAAAAUCAGGCCAAAAUGUCAAAGGGCCCAAUUUAUAAACAUUUUAAUUGUUUAAUUUAAAUUUUUAAGCUUUAGGAACAUACAUGUAAAAUUCGGCCCAAAAACAGCCCAUAUAUAUGCUUGGCCGAAUUUUCCUUUAUUUAUUCUAUUAAUUAGGUUUAAUUUUAUUAGUUACUUGUUAGAUUAGGAUUACUUGAGGCCUAUUUAAAGGCAUGGAUGGCCACCCCUUGUACAUAACACUUAGAUUCAUUCUUAAAUUUCAGAUUUGAGAGAGCAGAAUUUUCUUUGAGUUUUCUCCAAGAUUUCUCUCGAGUUUUCUUUAGAAGUUGUUUUAACAAUCUUUUGAUUGUGGGAGCCAUCUUCAACCUUCCUCUUGCCAUCGAUUUUCUUUGGAGGGGAGUUUAGAGCCGUUUGAAGAGAUUUGUGAGAUCUUUCAGGAUUUCAAGGAUCUUUAGGACUUAUCCUUUAAUUCUUGCUGUUUUCGAUUUCUUUCUUUACUUUUCUUUGCUUAUACUUGUGCCGAUUUCUCAUCUAAUAUUUUGCUGUUCUUGUUUGUUUUCCAGCAUUGAUUAAACUCAAGAUCUCAUCGUUUAAGUUGUUCUCCUAUUGGCAGCACCCAUUCGAACCCAAAAAUCCCCAAUUCCUAGGGUUUGGCCGAUUGGAUUUCUUUCAAUUUGGGAAUCAAUUGAUUGCUGGAAAUUGGGCAUUCUUGGCCGAAUCAAUUUGUUGACUGAUUCGCAAUCUUUCUAUACUUCCAAUUUCGUUUGAUUCAUCUAUUCUAUUUCUUUGUUUCUUGCUGCUCCUUUAAUUGAAUUUGGGGAUUUAAUUUCAGAUCUGAUUAGUAUAAUCUUGUUCUUUGUUUUAAUUUUCAGAUCUGUUCGUUUAGAGCUUUCGUAGGAGUUUCUCGUGACUUGGCAACUCGAUCUUGGUCCGCACGCACCUCCGUAUCAAAAUACAAACUAAAGAAAGCUAAAAAUAAGCUCAUUGGGUUAAGAUUGAGCUGAA